rnacentral:lncRNA from 1 species
AGGUUUUUUCCUUGUUAGUACUGCUUUGGAACUAAACCCUUAUGAUUCAAUCAUAGCAAAGCAGAUACGGGUUUAUCGUCCUCAGGGAUUGUGUGAACAUUGGUUCCACGAGCUAAAUAUUGAUUUGAGCAGAUGAGAAUAUGUUUGAUAAAAUUGUUUUUGUUGUUUUUGAAUAUAAAUGAAAGCAGUAAAAGAAGGUUUACUGAGGUAACAAAGAAGAAAAUGUAUUUAGAUAUGUCGUCACCUAGUCCUUUGAUUGUUUUCAACUCAAACACUUAUGUAAUGGUUCAUUUCACUUAUGAUGCCGAGAGCUAUCCACCUAACUAUCCCUAGCCUAGGUGAAUCUAUCAGUUGGAAUUCCUAGACGUAAUCCCUUACCAUCUAGAAAACCCAAAAGGAAUAAUAUAACUCAAGUUCUCUCUCAAAGACAUUCCCAAUGACCAAUCUAUCCUAAUACAAGGUAUCCUAGGCUUGCGAAUCUCCGUUCUCACCCGGAAACUCCUAUUAGAACUCAGAACCCCACCUGUCACGUGGAAAUUCACUAUUGCUCUUACCUAAGAUAUUCUCACCUUAAGACAAUUGGUUCAGUGAGUGGUUUCUCUCUUGAACCGGACCUGCAUUUAUCUCCCGAUCUCAUGCUAGUCCUCGGAAAUCUAACGCAAAUCAGUGAUACUUGAAGCACAUAAAGCAAAAAUUUAACACACAAAUUGUGACCUAAGACAUAGGUGUUUUACCUUCAUUGAACUAAGCAUACACUAAUUCAUAUCAACCUUCCGAUCUAUUUAUAAAUUAGUGAACUCUUUUGAUUAUCAAUUGAUUGGUUAGAGGCAUGAAGCAUAGAAAGAAACACCAUACAUGAAAGAUUAUCAUUUACAUUUAUGAAAAGAGUUUACAACAAUCAAAGCAUCAAGUUAUAACAUCCUAAAUACAAAAAUAGAAACAACAAGUACAAGGGAUAAGGAAGAAAAGAUGAAACCCAGAAGAACGGCGAAGGAUCCACGGCGAUAGAAGCUUUCCCAAGCUUUCCAUCGCCCCCGAGAGGUUGUCACGGUCCUUCGGCGGUCGCCGCCACGCUCCGGAGCUUCAAUCUUUCAAUCCUAGACCCAGGGACCCUUCCCCCAUGAAGCCCAGCCUCCUAUGAAUGUUUAGGGAGGAAAAAAUGGAAGAGAGAUGGAAGAGAUAUGGAAGAGAUUUCGUGAUCUGCCUUUUAUAGAAUUUAUGGCCGACCCUAGUUAGCUCAAGCCAAGCUAAGUUGGCUCGAGCGAACCUUUCUUCAUGCUGAAGUAGUUAAGACCGCCUUCAGUCCGCUCAAGCUAACUCAAGUUGGCUCAAGCGAACUAUGCUGAAAAUCUACUGUAAAGUGGUGGCUUGAGCCAACUUUUGAGCGAACUCUUUCCUUUGCUUAUUUUUCAGCUCUGUUUCCAGUCCGCUCAAGCUAAAUUUGAGCCAACUUUCCUCACUUUAUUUUCUUGCUCAAGAUUCAAGCCUUCUUUAAGUGAUCAUCUUACUCCUACAUCAAAAUUAAGACUUUAAAUAUUAAAAGCAUAAUAUUUACAUUAUUUUUAUGCUAAAACUAAAUAUUUUCUAAGCAAGCUACUUUGGGGAUAAAAUGAUCAACAAUGCAAGUAUACUGGUCAAAUAAGUGCCUAUAAUGAUAAUGAAAAACACGUAAAAAUUGCACUUAUCAAUUAUGCAGGGAUUCCUUUCGAUCCAGCCCAUAAGAGGAACUGAAAAGUUUCUGUACAUGGGAAACAGGAUGAAAGCACGAAUUGAAGGAAUUGGGACUUACAGAUUGAUCUUGGACACUGGUCAUCAGUUAGAUCUAGAAAAGUGUCUAUAUGUUCCUGGAUGUGCUAGAAAUCUUGUUUCAGUAGGAAAGUUGGAUCGCUUAGGUUUUGAUUUUAAGAUUGGACAUGGUGGUUUUUCUUUGUAUAAACUUGCGUACUAUUACGGUUCUGGUACUUUGCUGGAUGGUUUAUACCGUUUCAAUCUUGAUGUUAAUUUUGUUGAAUCUCUGUUUAAUGUUGAGCACAAUAGUAGUGUUAAAUGUACCGCACGUAAUGAAUGCUCUGCUUUCUUGUGGCAUAAAAGAUUAGGUCACAUAUCCAAAGAAAGGAUGAUGAGGUUAAUGAAAAGUGAAAUGUUGCCUCAAUUGGAUUUUGCUGACUUGGAUAUAUGUAUGGAUUGCAUUAAAGGCAAGCAAACCAAACAUAUAUCAAAGAACCCGGCUACAAGAAGUAGUCAACUCCUUGAGUUGAUACACACUGAUAUCUGUGGUCCUUUUGAUGUUCCAUCUUAGGGUGGAGAAAAGUAUUUCAUUCUCUUUAUUGAUGACUUCUCACGUUAUUGUUAUAUGUAUCUACUGCAUGAAAAGUCUCAAUCAGUGAAUGUCCUUGAGAUAUUCAUUAAUGAGGUGGAAAGACAGCUAGAUAGAAAAGUGAAAGUUGUGAGGUCUGAUAGAGGAGGUGAAUUUUAUGGUAAAUUCAAUGAAAGUGGACAAUGUCCAGGUCCUUUUGCAAAGCUUCUUGAAAGUCGGGGCAUAUGUGCACAGUAUACAUUGCUCGGUACACCACAACAAAAUGGUGUAGCAGAAAGGCGGAAUCGUACUCUUAUGGAUAUGGUUAGAAGUAUGUUAAGUAAUAGUAAUGUACCUUUUUCAUUAUGGAUGCAUGCAUUAAAGACAGCCACAUAUCUGCUUAAUAGGGUUCCUAGUAAAGCGGUUCCUAAGACUCCUUAUGAACUGUGGACAGGAAGGAAACCUAGUUUAAGGCAUUUGCAUGUUUGGGGUUGUCAAGCAGAAGUAAGGUUAUACAAUCCCCAUGAAAAGAAGCUUGAUGAAAGAACCAUUAGCGGUUACUUCAUUGGCUAUCCUGAAAAGUCAAAAGGGUACAUAUUCUAUUGUCCUAACCAUAGUACGAGAAUUGUAGAGUUUGGUAAUGCUCGGUUCAUUGAGAAUUGUCAGUUCAGUGGGAGUGAUGAAUCACGAAAGGUGGAUAUUCGAGAAACUCAAGAUAAUUCAAUUGAUGUUUCUCCUCAUAUUGUUGUUCCUCUUGUAUCACAGUCACAUAACACAAGGAAACAACAAAUUAAUGUUCCAAAUCCACAAAAUGAACAUGAAAGUAAUGAGCCAGCUGACAAUGUACAAGUCACAAAUGAACAAGUGGAAGAAGAGGCACAUGAAAUAGUAUUAAGAAGGUCUGAAAGACCUAAGAGAUCAGCUAUUUCAGAUGAAUAUGUGAUUUAUUCACUUGAGAAUGCAUGUGACUUGAGAAUUGAUAAGGAUCCAGUCUCGUUCAAACAAGUCAUGGAAUGUAGCAAUUCUGAAAAGUGGUUCAAUGCUAUGAAAGAAGAGUUGAAAUCUAUGGACGACAAUAAAGUAUGGGAACUAGUCGAGUUGCCUCAAGGUUCAAAACGAGUCGGAUGCAAGUGGGUCUUUAAGACUAAACGUGACUCGAAAGGCAACAUUGAAAGAUAUAAGGCUAGACUUAUCGCCAAAGGUUAUACUCAAAAGGAUGGCAUUGACUACAAAGAAACCUUCUCUCCAGUUUCUAAGAAGGACUCUUUGAGAAUUGUCAUGGCUUUGGUGGCUCAUUAUGACCUAGAGCUUCACCAAAUGGACGUAAAGACCGCUUUUCUGAAUGGUGACUUGGAAGAAGAAGUUUAUAUGGACCAACCAGAGGGUUUCUUGACCACAGGAAAGGAUAAUUUGGUAUGUAAGUUAAAGAAAUCAAUAUAUGGACUAAAACAAGCUUCCCGACAAUGGUAUCUCAAGUUCAAUGAUACCAUUACAUCAUUUGGUUUUAUAGAGAACAUCGUUGAUCGGUGUAUCUAUAUGAAGGUCAGUGGGAGCAAGUAUAUUAUUUUGGUUUUGUAUGUUGAUGAUAUCCUACUUGCUGCUAAUGAUAUGAGUUUGUUACAUGAUGUAAAGAAAUUUCUCUCUAACAACUUUGAAAUGAAAGAUAUGGGUGAGGCAUCCUAUGUUAUAGGAAUAGAAAUAUUCCGUAAUAGAUCAGAAGGAUUGUUGGGAUUGUCUCAGAAAGGUUAUAUCAAUAAAGUGUUAGAGAGAUUUAGAAUGAAAAGUUGCUCCGCAGGAAUAGUUCCAAUUCAGAAAGGGGACAAGUUUAGUAAUAUGCAAUGUCCUAAGAAUGAUUUGGAACGAAAGGAAAUGGAGUCUAUUCCCUAUGCAUCAGUGGUUGGGAGUUUGAUGUAUGCUCAAACAUGCACUCGGCCAGAUAUCAGCUUUGCUGUUGGAAUGUUAGGCCGAUAUCAAAGUAAUCCCGAAAUGGACCACUGGAAAGCUGCAAAGAAAGUCCUUAGGUACUUACAAGGCACCAAGGAUCACAUGCUUACAUACAGGAGGUCAGAUCACAUUGAAGUGGUUGGCUACUCGGAUUCAGACUAUGCUAGAUGUGUAGAUUCAAGGAAAUCUACAUUUGGUUAUGUAUUUUUGCUCUCUGGUGGAGCAAUAUCAUGGAAGAGUGCAAAACAAUCAGUUAUUGCUACUUCAACUAUGAAGGCUGAAUUUGUGGCUUGCUUUGAUCUUAGGGCUUGGUAUUGUCGACAGUAUAGAAAGGCCGCUAAGAAUUUAUUGUGAUAAUUCUGCAGCUGUCUUCUUCUCUAAGAAUGAUAAGUACUCUAAGGGUGCAAAGCACAUGGAUUUAAAGUACUUAGCUGUCAAAGAAGAAGUGCAGAAACAUAGAGUGUCUAUUGAGCAUAUUGGUACUGAUAUGAUGAUAGCGGAUCCGCUAACUAAGGGAUUGCCGCCCAAAACAUUUUCUGGCCAUGUUGUAGAGAUGGGCAUUAUAGACAAGUCCUUGUUAGCAUAAUAUUAUAGAAUGCAUAUGUACAUAUGAUGGGUUUGCUUGUAUGGACAUGACACUUAUGAAUUCAAUUAAAUAUGUGUUUCUGUUUGUUUUACUUGUUAUUCAUAGUAAGGUGUAUACGUGUAUGGCUUAGAUGAGAUAACAAGUUGUGUUUUGUUUGAAAACAUUAAAGUUGAACAUUGCAGGAAGUGUUCAUUAAAGUUGUUUUGAUUUGAGUUGGUUCUGUGAUACAUGGAAGGGAUCAUGUUGCAUGAUGACUUGUGACCGCCAUGAUCCGAUCAUCUCAUUUCAAUUAAAGAUGAUGAUGACCUGAUAAAUUUCAUCGUAAAGUGCGCAUUUAUGGUUUGUUGAAUCUUCAAGUCGUCACAUGGGCCAAGUGGGAGAUUGUUAAAUUAUUUUAAUAAUUAAUGUGGCCCAUGUAACUUAUAGAACUAACUUUAUGAAAAGAUCCUCAAUGUGAUGGUCAUUAGGAUAUUAAAGCAAUUAAAGUUAGUUGGGGGUUUCAAAAUUCAAUUUUGAAUUCCCUCUCCUCUUCCUUCAGAAAAUUAAAAGAUAGUGGGUGGUUACAAUAACCAACCUACAAUAAAGGGUUUACUGAGCAGUUUUCAAAGUAACGUAUUCUGCUUCUCUUCUCAUCCAUCAGAGAAGGACUGAAAGUGGAAGGCAAAGAGGAGAGAAAAAGAUUCAGAGAGCAUUAAGGAUUUCUUCAUGGAUUCUGGCAUGAAUCCAGGUUAGUUAUCUCCUCCCUUUAAAGUUAGUGAGAAUCAUAUAAAUUAAAAAUCCUGGCUUAGGUUUCCUGUAUGUUGAAAACCCUAGAGUGGAUAAAAUUUGCUUACAGAGAAUGCUAUUUCUUGGCAUCUUUAAAAAUUGUGCUUGGUUAACAAAUUUAAUUAUUGAAAAAUCCUUUUCAACAGACAUGGAAUAAUUAUAAUAUAAGUUUGAUUUUUUUUUCACUGAACUCUCUCAUCACAUACAAAGAUCAUGUUUGGGUGGCCGCCGCGCAUCCUCCCAGCGCGGCGGCAACCCCCUCUCUCUAGUUCAUUCUUUCUUAGCUCUUCUUCCCAUUAUCUCUUCCCCCUUUAGGUGGUGUCUUUUUUGUUUUAUCGAGGGCUCUGCAUCGCCUUUCCACUUUCUCAUUCCCUUACCUUGAUUUGAAAUCUUUCCUCGUUCCCCUGGUCAAAUUAAAGGUGUGGAAGAGUGGGGUUGCAGUUUUCUUCUCGAGGGUGGUUUUCGUAGAGCAUGGGUGUGAUAAAGGACCUAGGGUUGUGGCUAAGAGAAGUUCGCCGAGUUUCACCGUUAUGGAUGCGCUCUGGUUCAGGGUCUUCAAUGGAUGUGGUUGGUGGUGGUUCUAUGGGCUUUGGUGUGGCAGCUUUUCCCCUUGCUCGGCGUGGCUCAGGUCAGCGACAUUUUGCUUCUCUUUGGUGAGGCCGAUCAGAUCCAAGAUGAUGUUGAGACUGGGUCAUUGGGGUUUUCUACUAUUUCCUUUAUGUUCAGUGCAUCUUUGGUUGUUUUUGAUUCAGCGUUGCUACUCUCUGCCUCUUCUUACUUUUGGUGCUAGCUGAGCUACUCUCUGUUUUGUGGGUUUAUGGGUUAUGCCUCUCUGCCUAUCGUGCCUCUCAAUGCCGGGAUGAAGCUCUACCUUUGUUGGGUUUGUGUGGUUCUUGUGGUCCGUGAUGGAGUCCCCCUCUUUUUGGCUGAUUAGUUCAUGCUCUAUGUCUCUAGGUUAUAGGGUUUUUUGUGCUCACUGCUCAGGUUGCUUUGCUGAUGGGUUUGUUUGGGGUGUUUUUUUUUUUGGUUUUUGGGAUGCAGGGUUGGAUUUGUCGAUCUUCGGAUUGUUUUCCGUGAUUUCAGUUUUUAGGCGUUUUAUCUUUCAUGGUUGGGGUUUGUUCAAUGUACGCUGUAGAUUGAUUUUUGUUGGCACGUUGUACUUCACAAUAUUUUUCAAAAUUGAGCCUUAUUUAUAUAUAUUAUUUCACUUUUGAAAAAUUAUAAAAUACAUUUGGUAAGAAAUGCAUAUUCCUAGGCGGUAAUGUGGUGAAUGGUGAAGGCGUUGGAGGGUGGUGAACGCGGUGGUGAUGGUAGUGGUGGAGGGUGGUAUUGGUCGUAGAUGGUGUUGGUGGAGAGUAUUGUGGUGGCGGUAGUGUUGUAGGCGGUGGUGGCGAAACUGGUAGUGGCGAUUCAGGUGGUGGUGGUGGUGUUGGAAGGUGAUGAUGAUAGUAUUGGUGGUGGUAGUGGAGGAGGGUGGUGGAGGUGGCGGUAGUGGCAGUAGCAAGGUGUGAUAAUGAUGGUGGCGCGCGACAUCUGCGGUGGCAGUGUUGGAGGGUGGUGGUGGCGGCAUGGAUUAAAUAUUUUCAUGUAGCUUAUACGUUGUACUCUAUGUACAAUGUUUUUUCCAUUCAACACCCUCCUUUUUUCAUUUUUUUACACUCCACGUCAUCUUCUCUCUCUUCCACCUAAAAAUUCAACACACAUUCAACUUUUACUCACUACAAUGGUUUUGUUUAAUAAAAUUCAACACCCUACUCCACCACUUUUAUUUCAUAUUCUUAUUUUCUUUUAUGUUUUUAUUUUUGUGAUUAUAUAUUAAUAACAAUUAUCGAUUUAAAUUAAAUUAAAAUAAUUAAGAGUUAUUAUUUUUUUCUUUCUAGUUUAGUAAUUUAUUUCAGUAAUUUUGUAUUCUUAAUUAAUUUUUUCUUGCAAGUAAAAAAUACGAGAUAUAUGGAUAGUCAUUAUUAAAACAAGUGAAAUUACAAAAAAAAAAUAAAAAUGCAAUACAAUACACUAAGCAAACAAAUCUAUUUAAUCACGAAACAUUCUGAUCUAGAGGGGAAAAAUGCUGUUUUUUUUGUAUCCAAAUCAAAUGAAUCAAGUCUCUAUUUAUAGAAAAAAAAAUGAUGAUUUUUUGUGAAAAAAAAAUUAAAAAAAAAAUUUACUACAAAAUAAUUGACCCCAAAUAAUUAGGAUGAGAUAAGAAUCUGUAAAUUACAACAACCAAUGAGAUUUUGCCAUGUGGGAUGAGUGUGACCAAUUUAUUGUUCAUUCAACAUGUUGAGUAUUAGACCAUUUACAAUGGUGUGUUGAAAGGGGAAGAAUUUGGUGUUGAAUGGGUGCAAUGGUUUGUUGAAGAGUGUUGAAAGAUGAUGUGGUCGAGACAGGUGAUGAAAACUCUCAACAUGUUGAAUCUGCCAAGGCUGGGACACGUGGCAAUGUGUGAUUGGCUGUCUGGAUUUUUAUCAUCUUAAUCUUUUGAACUCAAUUAAUUCAUUGCAAAAAAAAAAUUUCUGGAAAUUUUUUUUAAACCAAAAUUCAUGAUUUUUUUCCUCUAUAAAUAGAGACUUGGUUCGUUUGAUUUGGACACAGAAAAAAAAACCAAGUUUUUCACUAUUAUUAUUAUCUUUCUAUUAGCCUUUGUUUUGAAAUGGAUCCCAACAAUUACCAUUUCAACACCCAGAAUUCUUCUAAAUAAAAUAAAUUACUGUCUAUAUUUAAAAAAAAAAUGAAAUUGUUAAGUGUUUAUUGUUUUAAUUUAAUUUAAAUCGAUAAUUGUAAUUUUAUGUAAUCAUAAAAAAAAUAUAAAAUUAAAUAAAAAUAUGAAAUAAAAAAGUGGUGGGGUAGAGUGUUGAAUGAAAAACCAUUGGAGUAGGUAAAAGUUGAAUGAAUGUUGAAUUGGAGAUUGAAAAUGAUGUGGAGUGUUGGGAAGAGGAAAAAUAGUGUUGAGAGUGUUGAACCAUUGUAAAUGGUCUUACACACCCUUUUUUUUUUAUAAGCCAAAAUAUUGCAUUCAAUUUAGCACAAGGGGUGCUAACCCAAAUACAAUGAGAAAUGGACUAGAAUAGACUAGAACCAUCAAGAGAGUAAGAGAACAAGAAAUACAUGACAAAACAGAAGCAAAAUAUAAAAUCAAUGUCAAACCAGAGUGGUAAUGACAUGCUAAACCUUGGCAACUAUACUGUGAGCAACCUUGAAUAGGUUUAAAUUGCAGUCCCUAUUACCGCUCAUCCCCUCAUAACGCUUGAAUACAGGAGCUUGGAUUCCUCAACCAUUCAAACCGAGAGUAGGUGAAUCCAUCCGUUUUUGUGCGUAGCCACUGCCAAGCUUUCAAUUGUGCCAGCUCUAGUGCUUGAUUCCUGUCAAAUUCUUCCCCAUUAAAGAUAACUUUGUUCCGGAGUAACCAUACAGUCCACACAAUUGCCAUCCAAAUAACACUCUCCCACUCUUUGUGCUUUAGUGAUGCCAGUGGAGGGGAACUGAAUCAGAUGUUCCCGUGGUAUAGGUACCAAUGAUGAUAGAACUCCCAUCCGAUGAAAGCAGUCAUACCAAAUCGGGUUUGUAGCAUGACAGAGGUAGAAAAUAUGAGUUGUAGACUCCUCUACCAACCCGCACAAAGGACAUAAAGCAUCCUCCUCAUUCGUGAUCACCUGGCGUCUUGUCUGAAUCCUGUCUUUCAACAUCCUCCAAGAAAAAAGCUCUAACAUUAGAUGGAACAGGUACUGACCAAACCAGUUUGAAUACUGGAUCUGCUUCCUUCAGAGUUUGUUCCUGCAAAAACAAAUAAGAUGAGUUAACUGAAUAAAUCUCUUCCCCAUCAUGCCUCCAACUCCAUUUGUCAUUUUUAUUUUCUAUUAGGUGCACCGCCCUCAAUUCUGACAUAAGAUCAUCUAGCCACCCCUCCUCACGUCCUCGUAACCUCCUCCGCCAUUUGAAGUUCCAUCUCCACACCCCACCUGACCACUGCCCCAUUGAUUUCACACACUCCCGUUUUUGAGUCGAGAGAUUAUAUAAUCUGUGGUAUCUUAGGUCCAGAGAUCCAGCUCCAAUCCAAUUCUCCAGCCAGAACUUGGUAGCAUCACCCCCAAGAACUGUUUUAUGUACACCAGUUUCAAACCAAUUACAACCAUCACUCAUGCAUGCAGCUUUUACAUCUCUCCACCAAGCUGAUUCGCCAUAUUUGGCACUCCGAGCCUUGAUAACUUUACACCAAAGGCUUUCUGGCUCACUGAGAAACCGCCAUUUCCAUUUUCCAAGGAGAGCCAUAUUAAAUAAUCGCCAAUCUUUGAUCCCCAAACCACCAUGGUCCUUGGGUUUACAGACCUCAGACCAUUUUACCCAUGCGAUCUUGCUCCCCAUGUCCGCCCCACCCCACAGGAACCUCCUCAUAAUUCUGGUACAGACAUUCUGAACACCCACAGGUAGUUUGAAAAAAGAUAAGAAAAACAGAGGCAAUGCAGACAACACACUCUGAAUAAGGCAGAUUCUUCCCCCAAAAGAAAUAUGUUUCUACUUCCAAGUGGAAAGUUUUCCAUGCAGCUUAUUGACAAUCGGAUCCCAGGUGGCCAAAUUAUUUGAUUUCCCCCCCCCCCACUGGGAUGCCUAAAUAUGUGAAGGGAAUAUUCAUGAUUUUACAAUGGAGCACAGAGGCAAGUCUACUGAGACAAUCCCUAUUCACCGCCACCCCCGCAAGCUUGCUUUUCUGAAAGUUCACUUUCAGCCCAGAUAUAAGUUCAAAACAUCGCAGUAUACAUUUCAAAGUUGUCACAUUUUGCAUGGAAGCUUCACCAAUAAAUACAGUGUCAUCCGCGAAUUGAAGUAUUGAGAUAGCUAGACCUGUAGACUCCUCAAAUUCGAAUCCAGUAAAAUGCCCCAGGCUGACUGCAUUAUUAAAGAGACCAGCCAAUCCUUCUGCUAUAAUUAAGAACAGGAACGAGGCAAGGGGGUCCCCUUGUCGUAGUUCUUUCUCCAUUCUGAAUUCCUCACAGGGAUUUCCAUUCACCAAUACCGAAACCGAGGCCGAUCCAAUACAACUCAUAAUCCAUUUCCUGCUAAAAUUCAUUCUAGUCAUCAUGUACUCCAAAAAUUCCCAACUCACUGAAUCAUAUGCUUUUUCGUAAUCUACCUUGAAAAUUAGAGUUGGUCUCUUUGCCUUUUUUGCCACAUCCAGCACCUCAUUCAACACAACCACACUGUCAAGCAUAUGACGGCCACCAAGAAAAGCGAAUUGAGUGUCACUGAUAAGCUUAGGAAGAACCUGUUUCAGCCUCAGAGCAAGUAGCUUGGAGACAACCUUGUAUACACAUCCAAUUAAUGAAAUUGGCCGAAAAUCAUUUAGACUUAAUGGAGAAUUAACCUUCGGUAUCAAUGCUAUGAAUGAAGCGUUGCUGCCCCUCGACCAUGCCCCUCUUUUCCAGAAGUCCUCAAGCACUUUCUGAAAAUCCUUCUUUAUCAGAUGCCAAAAUUUAUGUAGAAAUCUGAAGUUAAAGCCAUCAGGCCCUGAGCUUUUGUCCCCUCCGCACUCCCAGACAACAUCUUUUAUUUCAUCCUCUUCAAACCGACAAAUUAAGACAUCGUUGUCUUCCUGUGAAAGCUGUGAGAAAGAUACCCCAUUCAGAUGCGGACUUGCCCAUCGGUUUGCUGUAAAUCUUCUUUCAAAAAAAUCCUUCACCUCAUCUUUGACUUUUUUCGGGUCCUCUUCCCAUACCCCUUCAUCCAUCAGCCCUACUAUGGUAUUUGAGCGUCUUCUCCAAUUGAUGAGCGAAUGGAAAUACCUGGUAUUUUGAUCACCAUCCUUGAGCCAUUGGGACCUCGACUUCUGACAUAACAGUGAUUCCUGUAGCUUUAAGAUUUGCCAGAAUUAUGCCGUCACUGUUUUACGCAAAUUGAUCUCCUCCUCAGAUAGCCCCAACUCCUCCUCCUUACUAUCCAGAUCAUUAAUUUGUAAAAUUGUUGCCUCCCUCCUGGUUCUCAAAUCCCUAAACACUUCCCUGUUCCAGCUCUUCAAUUUUACUUUCAGUCCCUUCAAUUUUUCUUUAAGUCUGUAAGCGCCCCACCCUGUAAUUUGGUUCUCCUCCCACGUUUUUUGCACAAAACUGUCAAAUCUGGAAUCAUUCAUCCAGCAGUUAAGUACUCGAAAGGGCUUCGGUCCCCAAUCUUGGUAGUUGGAUCAGAGCAGCAGCGCACAGUGGUCUGAAAUGUCUCUGUUCAACCCAAUCUGCGCAGAAUGAGGCCAAUUUGCUAGCCACUCAGGGGAUAACAGGAAACGAUCAAUUCGACUUUGGGCUUGCCCGUUGGGCCUGUACCAUGUAUACUUUCUGCCUGACAAGGGAAGGUCCAGCAACUCCAUCUCCUCAAUGAAUCUAUUGAACUCUGCAAUGUCCCUUCGCUGAGAGCCAAUGUUUGUCGCCACUCCCCUUCGUUCCUCCUCUGCCCGUACUGAGUUGAAAUCACCACCCAAACACCAGAGGGAUAUUGGGCUUCGAUUUUUCCAUUCUACUAGUUCUCUCCACAUGGCCCUUUUCUCCUCCAACCUGCAAGAAGAAUAAAUAUUAACAAUUGCAGAGGUUUCUGACAUGUCCCCCCAUGUUCCCACCAAGCCUAUGAAUCCAUGCCCAAGCACACACUCCAAUAGAUGAAAAGUGUCUCUCUUCCAAAUGCAGAGAAGACCACCUCCUUUAUUAACAACUGGUAAUGCUUUCCAUUCCAACUCCGAGUCCCUCCACAUUUGUGUACAAUCGCCCACAUCCACUGAUUCCAACUUUGUCUCUUGAACACACAUCAUAUCAAUUUGUUCUUUGACCAAUAGUUCUCUAAUUAUUCUCCUCUUGGCACUACUGCCCAGUCCUCUCACAUUAUAUGACACAAUCUUCAUAAUAAAUUAUUUGCGUCCUCGUUUGGUUCAGAACCAAUCUGCUCCAUAGCCCCUGGAGCAUCCCUAGUUUCCAAUUCAACUAAUCUUCUAAUGAUCUCUUCUUCAUUACCUCUCACUGUGACCCCAAUCUCUUUUCCCAGUAGUAAUAUCUUUUUUUCCUCUGCCUCAAUACCCCUUAGCCAUACUGACUGAUUGUUAGUUCUCGCCCCUGUUGCUGACGAGGAAUUACAAGGGGAGAAUAGAAAGUGUAUGUACCUUCUUCUCUCUGAAGUUGUCGAUAGACUCCUCACAGCCCCAGAAGGCUCUAGUGCAACCCCCAUCCCAACGCCUUCACCUCUUGAACCCGACACGCUCUGGGACCAUCGGAGAAGUCGGAAUUGGUUGCUCAUUGUAACGCCCCAAUUUCUUAACUGAGGAAUCACAUUAAGUAACCUAACAAAGUCUAAGGACUAUUCUGCAAUCCCUAAAAACCAAGGGUAUAUUUUUUUAAAAUGACUAAAUACCAUAGGGUUGGAAACAUUACAUAACUUUAUUUAAAUAACCUGUUUCCCGACAUAAUAAUGUACAUAACAUAGAGUAGUUCACAACACCAUAAACGGGGUUCCAAAAUAAGUACGCUCACUUAGACAAGUGGCGAAGAUAAGGUUUAAACAACAGAGUUUUCAGAUGGAGAAAGAAACUCAGACAUAGUCCACCAAAAAGGGAGAAGCAACUGCUUCAUCCACCUUUACUCGACCGCCCACAGUCACGGUCUCCAACUCGAACAACUNNNNNNNNNNNNNNNNNNNNNNNNNNNNNNNNNNNNNNNNNNNNNNNNNNNNNNNNNNNNNNNNNNNNNNNNNNNNNNNNNNNNNNNNNNNNNNNNNNNNNNNNNNNNNNNNNNNNNNNNNNNNNNNNNNNNNNNNNNNNNNNNNNNNNNNNNNNNNNNNNNNNNNNNNNNNNNNNNNNNNNNNNNNNNNNNNNNNNNNNNNNNNNNNNNNNNNNNNNNNNNNNNNNNNNNNNNNNNNNNNNNNNNNNNNNNNNNNNNNNNNNNNNNNNNNNNNNNNNNNNNNNNNNNNNNNNNNNNNNNNNNNNNNNNNNNNNNNNNNNNNNNNNNNNNNNNNNNNNNNNNNNNNNNNNNNNNNNNNNNNNNNNNNNNNNNNNNNNNNNNNNNNNNNNNNNNNNNNNNNNNNNNNNNNNNNNNNNNNNNNNNNNNNNNNNNNNNNNNNNNNNNNNNNNNNNNNNNNNNNNNNNNNNNNNNNNNNNNNNNNNNNNNNNNNNNNNNNNNNNNNNNNNNNNNNNNNNNNNNNNNNNNNNNNNNNNNNNNNNNNNNNNNNNNNNNNNNNNNNNNNNNNNNNNNNNNNNNNNNNNNNNNNNNNNNNNNNNNNNNNNNNNNNNNNNNNNNNNNNNNNNNNNNNNNNNNNNNNNNNNNNNNNNNNNNNNNNNNNNNNNNNNNNNNNNNNNNNNNNNNNNNNNNNNNNNNNNNNNNNNNNNNNNNNNNNNNNNNNNNNNNNNNNNNNNNNNNNNNNNNNNNNNNNNNNNNNNNNNNNNNNNNNNNNNNNNNNNNNNNNNNNNNNNNNNNNNNNNNNNNNNNNNNNNNNNNNNNNNNNNNNNNNNNNNNNNNNNNNNNNNNNNNNNNNNNNNNNNNNNNNNNNNNNNNNNNNNNNNNNNNNNNNNNNNNNNNNNNNNNNNNNNNNNNNNNNNNNNNNNNNNNNNNNNNNNNNNNNNNNNNNNNNNNNNNNNNNNNNNNNNNNNNNNNNNNNNNNNNNNNNNNNNNNNNNNNNNNNNNNUUUUCAGUGGAGGAGGCCUUUGAGUAUGCGAGAGGGAGUUAUGUUUGAGGAAUUGCGUCAAGUAGUUGAUACUGGUGUGUUAGUAGAAGGAUUGAGUGACUCUUUCAUAUGGACAGCAGAACCAGCUGGGUGUUACAUUGUGUAAUCUGCAUAUAGAUUGCUUCGAGAGCCUUUUCUUGGGACCGUGGAUCCUGUGUUUGAUUUGGUUGGCAGCGGCUCCGUCGAAUGUGUGCGGGUUGGCGUGGAAAAUGGUGCUGGAUCGUUUGUAGUCGAAAGCUAAUUUACGGAAGAGGAAUGUCAUUCAUACAGCUAUUGAGGGAUUAUGUUCUCUUUGUGUACAAGAGGAAGAGACUACAUCGCAUUUGCUCCUUACGUGCCCGGUGGUAGCCAAGGUGUGGGAGAGGUGUUAUAGGUGGCUUGGGGUUUCCGCUGUAUUUCCAGGAGACUCCAUCAGACAUUUGCAGCAUCAUUUUAAUUUGCAGUUAAGUUCAAAGAAGAAUCAGUUAUAUAGGGUGAUUUGGUUUACGGUUGUAGGGUCAUUUUGGGGGAGGAGAAAUUCAGUCAUCUUUUAGGGAGGAAGUUGGAAUGAAGAUGAGGUGUUUGAUGGCAUCCAGAUGAAGGUGUGGUUCUGGUUAAAUGGGAGGGUGAGUGGUUAUCAAACCCGAUUUUUUGUAGGGUUGAGCAUGGACUCGAGCCCGACCCAAAACCGAAGUACUCAGAAGCUUAAAACUAAAAUGGGUCGGUCCUGGCGGGUCAUCAGGUUUAAAAAGGGAACAAAAUGGGUUGAAAUGGUUACAGUUGGGCGGGUGCGGGUUUGGAAAAUUUUCCCCGUCGGUGCCCGAACCUGCCCGACCUCAUAAUUUAAUACAUAAAAAAUUUGAACAUAGACUUGCCUGCUACUUACGUCAGUCCCCAGUAAAGCCUAUGUCUAUGGCAUAAUUACUAACCUAUACAUCUAUCACUCAGGUACUAUCUAUAAUUUAUUCACUUUAAUUAUUCCCUAUUUCCUAAGCCUACAGUUGAGCAUUAGUGCACCACUUCAUCUAAUUUGAUCAUUGAUUUCAAAAUUGCAGACUUGGGAAAGGUAAAGCCAAAGGCCACCUAGUCAAGUCUCUCUCUUUCCCAUUAUUUCUCCAUGGAUGCCUUUGAGAUUCAAUUAAAUAAGUGAAAUUAAGGCCCAACCGUUCUUUCUUCAUCUACGCCGCUACUGCUACUCCUCCUUUCUCCGCCGUUGCUUUCCUCGCCGGUGCGGAUUGACGAGACGAUGAAUAUUCGCGGCUUCUCCUCUUCGUGGAGUGUAGCAGCGGUGGGGGAUUGGGCGGUGGGUGUGUUGGUUAUGGGUGAGGACCUUGAUAUAGCUGGUUCUGGGUGAAAGCGUGGUAGUGUUGUGUGUGCUUAUGCUGCACUGCAUCAUACUCUGUUGUUAAAGUUUCCUCUUUGUUUUGUUUGCUGUUUUUGGACUUUGUUUCCUUUUCCUUUGUACUAUCUUUUAGCAUUUCUUGUGCCGUUUAUUAUAUAUAUUAUAUUAUAAUAAUGAAGCAUAUAAUGAAAAUCAAUUAAAAUAAUUCUAUAACAAUUAAAACCAAAAACGUAACUCAAAUAGAAACCUUAAAAUAAAAACUCACAAAAAUGCAAAUUUUUGGAGUUUACCUAAUAGAAGAGAGAACUUUUCUCACUUCCACUAAUCCUCCUCAAAAACCAAUUGCAUAAUUUAAAGCUUCUUCAACACAUAUAUGAGCCUUGAGAAAAGAAUGUUAGCACAAUAGCAGUGAUAACACAAUAUUAAAACAAAGAUAAGCCAUUGAAAUGAUAGACAAAUAUUGAGUUAUUUAUGCUCGGGGUCCCUAAACUAUGGUCGGAAAUCGGGAUACGUCCCUAAACAAAAUUUUCUUUGGUUGCCAUCCUUUAACUUAAUUAACAGGUUGGGUCUCAUCCCUUUACCGGUUGGGGUGCUCACAUGGCACAGGUAAGUGCUGACAUGUAGGUUGUAAUUGUUUUUUUUAUUUUCUUUCCCACCUAACUUAAUUAAUUUAAUUUUUCUUAUUUCUCCCGCUAAUUUACAUUGCAGAAAUGCUUUUCAUCCUCAUUCUAACUAAACCUAAAUUGGUAACCUUCAUUCCUCUCUUGCUUUCUCCGCCGACUGCAUCCUUUCUCUUCCCCCCUCUCUUUCUUCCCCCCCCCCCGCCUUCUUUCCCCCGCCGCCUCCUUCUUUUCUCUGUCGGCCCCUUCCAUUCUCCGUCGUCGUCGUCUUCAUCGUGCUCGGCGUUUGGUGUGACGUCGCCUUCAUCGUUCGACCCUCGUACGUUGGAACCCAAAAUCGUGAACACCUAAGACAAGAGGUAGGUACCGUUUGUUGUGUUCUUUACCCUUUGUGAACGUGAAAAACGAAAAACUUGGCUGUAUUUUGGGGAUUUUGUUGGUGGGGACCAAAAACAUUUGAUUAGUCGCGAUUUUAGGCUUUAUUUUGUUCGAUUCUUCUGGGUGGGGACCAAAUUUGAGGUUGCAUGUACCAUUUUGUGAGUGGGGACCAAAUUUAUGGUUUAUUUUGUGAUUGUGACCUAAUUUGGGGUUUAUUUCUUUUUGUUUUGCAGCUAAAUCAUGACUUUCACAUUGGUUGUUCAUCAUAGAGGGGAAUUUGUGCUUGCCCCUCGGGCUGAGUACGUGAAUGAUGUGGUUCAUGCAUUUCCUGGAUUGGACAUCGAUCAUUGGUCUUACUGGGAAUUGUUGGACGUUGUGAAGGGGCUUGAAUAUAUUGGGAUGUUUGAAAUGUGGUGGAAAUAAAAUGAGAAUGAUUUCCGUACUGGAAUGAAAAGGAUUGCAAGUGAUUCUCAAGCCAAAGAGCUUGCUUCAUAUGCUGAAAAGUUUUGUGUGAAGUUUCUGUCUACAUCAAGCAUGAGGUUAUUGUUGAUGCCUCAGUUGUGGAGGAGGUUCUUCCCAUUGAUGCUGCUCCGGUGGAACCAAAUGAGCCUCAUGAUUCUUCCAAUGUUGGUGUUCAAGUGGGUUCUAGUGUUGAUGUGCCUAAGACUGCUUCUGCCAAUGUUGUGCCUGAGAUGGGUUCUGGUGCUGAGGUGCAAGCUAAUGUUCAUCAUGCCACUGCUUUGCCUAAGUCUCAUGGCUAUAAAGUAAAGCAUGUUGCUGCAAAAGAGAAGAAUGCUGCUGGAUUGAAGUCAUCUGUUGAUCACUAAUCUGGGAAAAGGAAGAACAUUGCUACUGGUGUGAAGCAAUCUAUAGUGUUUGCUUCUGGGAAAGGGAAGACCAUUUCCACCAAAGAACUGAGUAAUAACGGGAAGAAAGUACGUGAUGUGGGGGAAAGGGAAGAGCAUUACCACUGAAGAGCUGAGUAAUAAGGGGAAGAAAGUAAGUGAUGUGGGGAAAGGGAAGAAGAUUGCCACUGAAGAACAAUCUGGGAAAGGGAAGAAAGCAAGUGAUGUGAGGAAAGACAGUAAGAGUGUGAAAGACACAUUCUAGAAAGGCAAGGAAAGUUGGUGGAGUAAGGAGGAGUUCAAGGAUAAGGAGUAGUGUUGUGAGAAACACAAGUGAUGUUAAGAGAAAUUAGGAGACUGUUAUAAUUGAAGACAUCAGCAGUGAUGAGCCAUGCAAGGGAGUCCACUUCGAUGAUAGUGAGGUGGAGAGGGAUCUUGGCAUAGAUGAUGGGUUUAACAUGCCUGAGUAGGAUGAUGUUCUUCACAAUAUGUUUCAAACCAGUUUUGGUAUCAAUGUUGAUAUGCUUCAUCCUAAGGGAAUCAACAUAGAGGAACAUGAUUUGGAAGAUGAAUACAGUUCUGAUCAGCUUGAUAGUGCAUCUGAGGAUGAGUCUGAGAAUGAUGAAGACCCUAAACCAAAGAAUUGUGUGUUUCGAGGGGAAGACAUGUGCAAGGAAUUCAAGUUCAAGGUUGGAAGGGAGUUUAUUUCCCUAAAGCAGUUUAAGGAUGCAGUGUUGUAUCAUUCUGUUUUAAAUGGUAGGAAAGUUACAUUUCCAAAGAAUGACAAGAUUAGAGUAAAGGUGGAAUGUACCAGGAACUGCUCAUUUAAGAUGUUCUGGAGUAAAGUGGGAGGCAAGGAAACUUUUAAGACCAAAACCAUAUGUCCUAAACACACUUGUGGGAGGGUUUAUAACAACAAGAAUGAAACUUCUGCAUGGAUUGCAAAGGUGGUUGCAUGGAAGUUUCAGAGUCAUGGAGAUAUUAAAGUUUCUGAGGUUAUGACUAAUUUACAACAGGAGAACUCAGUUGGUGUUACUCAUUGGAGGGCAUGGAAGGGAGGGGUGAUAGCUAGGGAGAUUGUUGAGGGUGAGGCAGCCAAAUAAUACACAAUGUUAUGGGCAUAUAGUGCUGAAUUGAGAAGGGCUAAUGCAAGGAACACAUGCAAAAUUAAUGUGUAUAAGCCUUCAUUACUGGUACAGCCUAGAUUUGAUAAGUUCUACAUGUGUUUAGAUGCAUGUAAGAAGGGGUUUACAAUAUGUAGACAUUUUAUUGGUGUGGAUGACUGUCAUUUGAAAACUAAGUAUGGUGGCUGCUUGUUGAUAGCUAUAGGGAGGGAUCCUAAUGAUCAAUAUUCCCCUUAGCCUUUGGUGCAGUAGAGAGUGAGACAAAGGACAGCUGAGGGUGGUUCUUGGAUCUUCUCCUGAGGAAUAUUGGACAAAAUAGGUGGGUCUUUAUAUAUGACCAGCAAAAGGUAUGUCCUUAUAUCACCCUUUGUUGAUUGUGUUACAAAUAGCCUAUUAGGGUAAUGAUUAAAUUACAUGUUUUAAUGAUGCAUUGCAUGGCCUCAUUCCCACAUUUGAAGAGAUGAUGCUUGGUGAACACAUAUUCUGUGUAAGGCACUUGUAUGCAAACUUCAAGAAGAAGUUUAGUGGAGGGGCUGUAAUCAGAGAUCUCAUGAUGGGUGCUGCAAAAGCAACAUAUGAGAGAGCUUGGGUUGCUAAAAUGGAUCAACUCAAGGCGCUUAAUGAGCCUGCUUACAACUGGUUGAUUGCAAUUCCAAAGAAAAUGUGGUGUAAGCAUGCAAUGAAUUUCUACCCAAGAUGUGAUGUCAUUAUCAACAAUCUAUCUGAGUCAUUCAACAGCACAAUAUUGGUAGCUAGAGAUAAGCCAAUAUUAACAAUGUUUGAGUGGAUAAAGACUUAUCUGAUGACUAGGUUUGCUGUGUUGAAUGAAAAGAUGAUAAAGUGGAAAGGAGAUGUAUGCCCAAAGCCUAGAAUAAGGAUGGACAGGGAGAUCAAGGCUGCUGGUGAUUGGAUUUCUAGAUGGACUGGUCAAGGAAUGUUUGAAGUGCAACAUAUGGAGGGUGGUGAUGGAUUUGUGGUUGACUUGAAUAGGAAUAAAUGUACCUGCAAUUUAUGGGAGCUUGUAGAGAUUCCUUGCAGGCAUGCAUUGGCGGGAGUGCACUAUAGAGGGAAUGACCCUGAGGACUAUGUCCACCAGUGCUAUAAGAGAGAUGCUUAUAAGCUCUGAUAUGGCCAGUCAGUCUCAUCAAUUAAUGGAAUCAACCAAUGGGAACCCUGUCCUGAAACUUUGGAGUUGCUUCCACCAGAAUAUAAAAGGGGACCUGGGAGGCCAAAGAAGCUCAGAAGGAUAGAUCCAAUUGUUGAGGAUGGUGAAACAACAAGGGUGAGCAGAGCCAACACAAGGAUGAAAUUCUCAAGGUGAAAUGAAUAUGACCAUAAUGUGAGGACCUGCAAGAUGCCUCCACCACAAUCAACAACUUAGAUUGUGAUAAUUUUGUAAUGUUUUACCCUUGUUUUAAUGUUGUUGAAGCUUAUGUAAUGAAGAAUCAAAGUUUGGACUUAUCAUCUGUAUACAGGGUGAAGGAUCGGGCACCCAAGCUGCAGCUGGAGAAGGAUCUGGCACACAAACACAACCUGCAUCUUGAUCUGCAGUUCAAGCAUAAACUGGAUCUAGCACCCAAGCUGAACCUGCAUCUGGAUCUGCAGCUCAAACACAAACUAGAUCUAGCACCAAAGCACCCAAGGCUAAGAAUGUGAGUUAAAGGCUUAUCAUUGUUUUUUGAUUCAGUUACACGGUUUUCUUACCUAUCUAUUCAAUUUGCAGCCUAAGAAGGCAAGGGCACCACAAACUCAACCUGCAAAAAGAGGAAGGCCAAGGAAAACCCCAGUUAAAGCUGUUGCUGGUCAAGGUUGAGGGAAUCAGAGGUCAAGGCCAACCCAAGUUGCUGGUGGGAUUGUGAUUGACAGCCAACACAAUUGAAGACAAUUGAGGACUAGUUAAUGGAUUAGGGUUUUUUGGAAUGUUUAUUCUGAUGGUAGUGGGUGGAGACAUGUUGCACAUGGGAGGCAUAUUUUGGUUCAAGUGAAACAAUGGCACUUGCUACUUUUUGGUGACAAUUUAUGUGAACUUGGUGACUAUUUUAUUUGUCCUUUAUGUUGAAUGCACUUUGUUUGGUGACAAUUUAUGUAAACUUGGUGUGUUGAAAGUGCCUAAUGCACUUUAUUCAAGUUGUCAUCUUCCCAUUAUUUUUAUAUGGUUAUAUUUAUUGGGGUUUUCUUGUUUUCUGAAUGCUCUAUAUUUCAAUGCAUUUCAUGUCAUUUGUCUUGCAUUUCACAUACAAAGUCGGAUUCAUUUCAUUUGAAAUCAAACCCAAUUUCAUUUCAUACCAACCAAGUACAUCACAACCAGAAAGACCUUAACAUCUACCAACAACAAAAAACCAAGCUUAAUGCUUAACUUAAGACCUCUACCAACCAUAGCUACCCAUUGCAUAAACCUCCCCAUCACAAUAAUUAAUGUCAAAACAACAAUCACAAUCCAUGACAUAAGUUGUUUCAAAAGUUUUGUUUCUUCAAUCUGCUUCCUCUGAUCUUCCACCACUUUCAUCUGUAGCUUCAUCAAUUUCUUCUCUGCUUCUCUUAGUUCAUGUUGACAUAAUGAAUGAACAUUUUCAAUGAAAUCUGCAGCUUCAAACUCCUCCUCCUCCUCAUCUAGCCAUUUGAAAUAGUCACAACCUGAUGACAACUGAGCAAACCAAAGGGAACUGAGAACAUUUACACACACAGUGAUAAUGAAAUUCGACAAAAUCAAACAAAAAAAGAGAUAAGAGAAGAUAGAAAUCACGCACAUGCUAGUAAGGGCACCUCAAAAACUUUCUCUCUAGGUUGAUGUCAGUGUGUGAUGUAUACAACACAACCUUCAACCCACAUUUGCACCUCCUCCUCGAUCUACCCCGAGUUGCAGAAGAUAAGCUGUGUAACAUUCGACCUAAGCAUAGGACAACUUCAAGAAAAGGGUCUGAGUAUCUCUUUUGGUCAGAAUUGGUGUCGAGUGUAUCAUCCAGAAAAGGGUCUGAUUAUGCAAUCGAAAAUGUCCUCAAAUAGAAUGUUUGCAGUUAUUGCAACUGUACUGUUUUCAAAUUGCUUUACAGCAACUUCCAUGGAUGAAAAUGUAUUGUGGUAUCGAAGAUAUGGGCAUUUGGGCAUGAGCGGACUAAAGAUUCUUGCACAAAAGUCUAUGGUGAAUGGUUUACCAGUGCUAACAGAGAUAGAGAGUACUUGUGAUGAAUGUCUCAAAGGGAAGCAACAUAGGGACCCCUUUCCACAGAAAAGCACAUGGAGAGCUUCUCAAAGACUUGAGUUGAUACACUCAGACAUAUGUGGUCCCAUCAAGUCUGAAUCAAACACUGGCAAGAGGUACUUCAUCACUUUCAUUGAUGAUUUCUGUAGAAAAACAUGAGUUUAUUUUCUUAGUGAGAAAUCUUCUGCUCUUGAAACUAUUAAGAAGUUUAAAGUCACUGUUGAAAAUGAGGUUGGGGUUAAAGUGGGUUGUCUAAGAAUUGACAGAGGGGAAGAGUUCAAUUCUAGGGAGUUUGGUGAGUUUUGUGAACUCAGUGGAGUUAGGAGACAGCUCACAACAUCCUAUACCUCUCAGCAAAAUGGAGUAGCUGAGAGGAAAAAUAUGACCAUCCUGAAUAUGGUCAGAUGCAUGCUUUCAGACAAGGAAAUGCCCAGAGAAUUUUGGCCAGAAGCAGUGAAUUGGUCAGUAUAUAUCCAGAAUAGGAGCCCUACAAUUGCUGUGAAGAACACUACACCUGAAGAGGGAUGGAGUGGUAGAAAACCUUCUGUGCAUUUUUUAGGAUAUUUGGAUGCAUUACCUAUGCACAUAUCCAAGAAAAUCAGAGAAGAAAACUUGAAUAACACAAGUGUUAAGUGUGUGCAUUUAGGCAUUAGUGCUGAAUCCAAAGUCUAUAGGCUCUACGAUCCCCUUUCUAAGAGGAUCAUUAUCAGCAGGGAUGUGGUGUUUGCUGAGCAUGAGAAAUGGGACUGGAAUAUAGGAAAGGAGGGAAUAGAAGAGCUUGAUGAUGAGGGAGAUACUGAAUGUAACGCCUUGAAUUUCAAGUGUCACUUUAGUAACCUAUUAAAUUAAAUAUGCAAUAUUUUCCAAAUGAUUUAUAAACACGAGUAUAUUUUUUUUCUCUUCAAAUGUAUUUCCAAAACAGGUCAUCCGUAAUCCCAACUACAAAGGGAUUUACAUCAAGCCUUGAACAAGGCGAGUACCCGAAACCCCAAAUAUAAAUUUCUAAAAUCGUUAUGCAAGCUUAAACCAAUAAUGGUUAGCUCUCUAACUCAAGGCUCUAACUCUACACCCGUCUCUAUUCUUCAAGUCUUCCACAGUUCUUCAAGUUCUCCUCUUCGACUCGUACGAAGGUCAAGCUUCUGCGGAAGGCUCUCCAUCGCCUAAUAGCGUUAAGCGCCCAAACAACAAGUAGCAAAUAGAAAAGGUUAACUCCAUGCAAUUACCACAUAAUAAAAAGAAAAGCAUGUUAUUCAAAUCUAAUACAUGCCAUGGUAAGUAAGCUACCAAUUUAAUUCAGGAUAGAUGACAACCCAUCCUAUCGAUCAUGAAAUCGAAUCAUAUAUUUAACAGAAUUAAACAUAUCAGCAAAAUCAACGAUAUGGUUUUAAAACAGAUACCAACAAAACUUAACAACAUAAACUAACUCAGGAAUCAAUGACUUAACAACAUAGGUUAAUUCAGAUAACAAUAACUUCAACAAUAUAACAUCAAAUCAGAUAUCAACAAUCCUCAACAAUAUAACGACAAAUCAGAUAUCAAUAAUCCUCAACAAUAUAACAACAAAUCAGAUAUCAAUAAUCCUAAAAAAUAUAACAACCAAUCAGAUAUCAAUAAUCCUCAACAAUAUAACAUCAAAUCAGAUAUCAAUAAUCCUUAACAAUAUAACAUCAAAUCAGGUAUCGACAAUCCUCAACAAUAUCGAUCAAACAAUAACGUCUCACAAGACGAGACAGUCUUGUGAAAAUAUCCACUCCACUGUCACUAAGUAACGCCUCGAAGGACGGGAUAGUCAUGUGAAAAUAUCCACUCCACUACCACUUGAUAACGCCUCGAAGGACGGGACAGUCAUGUGAAAACAUCCACUCCACUGCCACUUCAAGCAAGUCAAAACAUCUCAUCCAAAAACAAGCCUCGAAAACCAAAAAUCAUACUGAUAUUUCUUUGAAGAAUUAGAAGAUUUAGCGGGAAGAUUAUCGUGUCUAAAAUACGUUGGAAUCAGUAGGAAAAAUCGGAAUCGCGAAAUUUUCAUUUUUCCGCAUUUUUCAUUUCCUAUAUAUAGUUUGAAAAAUGAAAAAAAAAAACAUCACAAACCCACGCACACGACCGUGAGCUUCUUGGAGGAAAGGAGGAGAUUUGAUUUUUGCCAAUUCUUGACCGAUCGUCGUUCUGUUCGUUGCUACGCGUAGGCCUCGAGGUACUUAUGCUUUUCCUUACCUCUGAUCAUAAAUUCUGUCGCUUUUCUCUAUGUUUUUCUGUGCUCAAAGUUUUGAGCUUUUUGUAAAACUGUCCAAAUAACUUGAUUUUAGUGUCUAAACUUAUUCCCUACGUGCCCCUGAGCAUGUUUAGCGGAUUACAUUUUGCCGAAUGUCGCCGAAAGACCGCCAAGUUUCAAUUCUGCUCAAAAACCCAUUUUUAUGCUGAGGUUCCGCUUUUUGAAUCAAAAACUCCCGACUGAGCUUAGCGUUAGUAGGAUUAGUCGUCAUAAUCGUCGUUGGUGUCGACCCCAUCUAAUUUGUUUUUCAAAAUUCUGAUUUUGAGUUUCCGAGUUAAAAAUAUUGACCAAAAUACCCCUGCGACAGUUUUCGAUCCGAUAAUUUUUCUGAGAGUUUCCCCGGCCUAGAUAUCGCCUAAGAAUACCUAGGAAUUGAUUUAGAUCGAAGAAAAAGUUCGGAAACCCUAUUUUCCAUAGUGGCCGAAACCUAUUUGCUUGGGUACCGUGUCCAAAAAUAAUUUUUGGGUCUCUAUGACCUGAGCCAUUGCGUAGCUCUUUCAAUUGUCGAAAUUUUGAUGCCGGUUUCGUGUCAUUCCGAGUUCUGUAGCUCGAGUUAUGCUCGUUUUAGCGAACGAAGUCUCCGCUGUCAAUUUGUGCCUAAAUAGGAACUCUGAAGCUUUAGAGGCUUUCUUUACGAUUUCGAUUAGUAUUAGUAGAUCGUGUUACUCCUAGUGAAGCUUGUGUUGAUGAAUGUGUUUUCUUUGUUCUAGGUUCGCAAUUUCCAUGCCCAACUUCUACUCACUCAGGUAAGGGUAACUCAGUUUUAGAGUGUCUUUGAGUCUUGCAUGCUUUUAUCGCACUGCCUGUGUUUGAGAUGAAGAUGUUUAUAUUGAUUGGCAGAUGAUUAUGAUUAUUAUGCUUGUUUAUGUUGACUGUUUCUGAGGCUUGUGCCAAAUGUUUUCUGAAGGCUUCGGCCGAGUAAACUUAUUGAGACGUGUGUCUCCGUUUUCUGAGAGGCUUCGGCCGUUUACUGGUUUCUGUCAUUGAACUGAGUUGGUAUGAAAUUGAAUUGAGUUAUGUUCGUUGAUAAUAGGAAUAACAUGUGGUUACUCCGAAUAAAUCAUUGGUUUGGGCAUUGUUGUUGAUUGACUUGGCAUAUAGGGCUUGGUCUUUAAGUGGCGAUGAGGUGGGGUGUGGUCCCGCGUGAUUGUCCCGUCUUUCGAGGCGUUAUAAAGUGGCGAUGAGGUGGGGUGUGGUCCCGCGUGAUGGUCCCAUCUUGUGAGAUGUUCUAAAGUGGCGAUGAGGUGGGGUGUGGUCCCGCGUGAUUGUCCCAUCUUGUGAGAUGUUCUAAAGUGGCGAUGAGGUGGGGUGUGGUCCCGCGUGAUUGUCCCGUCUUGCGAGACGUUAUUGAUCGAUCCAUUUUGGUAGCAGCAUGUAGUUGCAUUAUAGGGAACUAACACCUGACCCUAUGUUGUUGGAUUUUAGUUAUUAGUUUAUUGAUAUCUGAUUUGAUGAUAUGCUGUUGAGGUUAUUAUUAUCUGAGUUAAUCUAUGUUAAGUUGUUGAUAUAUGAGUUUAGUUAUAUUGCUGGUUUUGUUGAUAUCUGGAUUAACUUAAGUUGCUAGUUUAUUUACCAUGAUAGGUAAUUAAAUUUGAAUAGCAUGAUUUUUCUCUUUUAUACAUGGUAAUUGCAUGGAGUUAACCCUUUCUAUUUGCUACUUGUUGUUUGGGCGCUUAACGCUAUUAGGCGAUGGAGAGCCUUCCGCUGAAGUUUAGUUGUUCGAGUUGGAGAUCGUGACCGUGGGCGGUCGAGUAAAGGUGGUUGAAGAAGUUGCUGCUUUCUUUUUGGAGGACUAUGUCUGAGUUUCUUUCUCCAUCUGAAAACUCUGUUGUUUAAACCUUAUUUCGCCACUGUUUAAGUGUGCGCACUUAUUUUGGAAACUGGUUUCUGAUAUUGUAAGACACUAUUAUUAUAUGUCGGGAACGGGUUGUUUAAUUAAGACUAUGUUAUGUAUUAAACUGUGUUUAGUUGUUUUGAAAAGAAGAAAAAAAUUAUCGUGUUUUCUUAGGAUUACGAAAUAGUCCUUAGACUUUGUUAGGUUACUAAUGUGACUCCUCAGUUGAGAAAUUGGGGCGUUACACAAACAACAAUCUCAAAUUCAAUAAUCAAAUCAACAUAACCACAUGUUAUUCAUAUUAUCAACCAACAUAAAUCAAUUCAAUUACAUACCAACUCAGUUCAAUGACAGAAACCAGUAAACGGUCGAAGCCUCUCAGAAAACGGAGACACACGUCUCAAUAAGUUCACUCGGCCGAAGUCUCCAAAAAACAUUUUCCUAGUUCAGCACAAUAAUCAUAAUCCAAUGCCAAUCAAUAUAAACAUCUUCAUCUCAAACGCAGACGGUGCGAUGAAUACAUGCAAGACUCAAAGACACUCUAAAACCGAGUUAACCUUACCUUCGUGAGUAGAAGUUGUGCAUGGAAGUUUCGAACCUAGAACAAGGAAACACAAUCAUCAACACAAGACCUACUAGAAGUAAUCAAUCUAAUAACACUAAUCGAAACCGGAAAGAAAGCUUUUAAAGCUUCAGAGUUCCUAUUUAAGCACGAAUUGACAACAGAACUUCAUUUGCUAAAACGCGCAUAACUUGAGCUACAGAACUCGGAUGACACGAAACCAAAGCCAAAAUUUCGACAAUUGAAAGAGCUACGCUAUAGCUCAGGCCAUACAUACCCAAAAAUUAUUUUUGGACACGGUACCUUAACAAACAGUUUUCGGCCACUUUAGAAAAUAGGGUUUCCAAACUUUUUCUUCGAUCUAAAUCAAUUCCUAGGUAUUCUGAGGCGAUAUCUAGGCCAGGGAAACUCUCAGAAAAAUUAUCGGAUCGAAAACUAGAACAGGGGUAUUUUGGUCAAGAUUUUUAGCUCGGAAACUCAAAGUCGGAAUUUCGAAAAAUAAAUUGGAUGAGGUCGAUACCCACGACGUUUAUGACAACUAUUCCUACUGACGCUAAGCUCAGUCGAGAGUUUUUUAUUCAAAAAGCAGAACCUCAGCAUAAAAUGGGUAUUUUGAGCAGAAUUGAAGUUCUGCAGCGAUUCGACGAGAUUCGGCGAAAUGUAAUCCGCUAAACAUGCUCUUGGACAUGCAGGGAAUAAGUUUAGACAGAGAAAUCAAGUUAUUUGGACAAUUUUACAAAAAGCUCAAAACUUUGAGCACAGAAAGACAUAGAGAAAAGCGACAGAAUUUACGAUCAGAGGUAAGGAAAAACAUCAGUACCUCGAGGCCUACAUAUAGCAACUGUCAGUGCGACGAUCAGUCAAGGAUUGCAAAAAGCUCUUCUCCCUCUUCUCCUCAAGCUCACCCACGACCAAAGCAUGGAAAAAGAUGAAGAUAUUUCAAAUUUUGGCUAUUUAUAGAUUGGUCAAAAACGCGGCAAAACAAAUAUUUCCCGAUUCCGAUUUUUCCUGUGCAAUACUCCGUGAAUUCUGAGUGGGUUUCCGAUGUCAACUUUCCAGAACUUGAAUCAAGGUUUUGGAAUAAAUGAAAUGAUCCAAAAAGCGGUAUGAAAUAAUUCAACCCGAAAAACUACUUUUGCAGCGAAUUUCAGAUGCAAAUACUUCCUUCUGAAGAAAGAUUGGAAACAUCGAAAGAAAUGGGUGUACGCGUGUGGAAUCUUCAUUUGAAGCUCCGAAUAGAAAAAGUCUUCAUCGAUUGUUUACUUAAAGGUUCUUGAGCUAUCAGGGAUUCAGUUUCGGCAAACUUCCGAGAAUUGAAAUCGGUCGUUCGUACAGUCCAGGGUUUCGUGUCGAAACACUUGUCAAGGAAAGGAAUAAGAGAAAUUCUUAUAUUCCUCUGAAUAUUUUUGAAUAUCGUUUCUACAGUGCUUUAAGAGCAAAUUAGCUAUUUACUAACGUUUUCGCCCUAAGGCGGAAGUGAAUGAAACUCGUGCUAUAACUUAUAGCGACUAUAUAACUAUUCUUAACCAUUUCCUGAACUUUCUUCUUCAUAACGCUAAUCCAAACAUUAAACACGAGUCAAGUUCCUCUCACGCUUACACAUAAUCCUAUGAGUGAGUUGAAAAUUAAUUAUUUAUUUAAUUCUAAAAUCUUGGGUCUUACACUCAUCAAUGAAGGGUUCUGUUGCAAUUGCCUUGAGGACCCAAUUGGAUGUGUAUUCAGGUCUGGCUUUCUCCUUUCCUCACUAGCCAAACGCGAUUCAUCCACAGCGUUAUGGUCUCUCUCAGGUCUUUGAUUAUCAUCAUCGACUGGUUCCUGUAUAUUGUUUUUAUCCACCUGCUUCUCAUCUUGGGGCUCCCCACCCGGAAUCGGAUCCAUAUUGAACAAGCCCAAGCCCACAUCAGCAUUUUGAAUUGUCAACGGAAUGUUUGGCCCGACCUCCUCUUGAGUUGUCAAGAUAUUAACUGUCCCAGCCUCAUGUUCAUUACCCAUGUUGCUCUCCAGUUGGGCCUCAGGUGGGUCCAUCACAUUUGCAUUAGGAGCAUUAUUUGUAGGGUCCACCGCCUCCAAUCUAAUACCCAAGAUUCCAUCAAUCAUUGAUUCCCCCAUAAUUGGCCCCUCGUUACUCACUACAGGAGUUACCACGCCGUCAUUGGAACCUGGGUUGUUACUUGCACCAAUGGAGCAAUUAAUGCCACCAUCAUUAUUCCCAUCCAGACCUUCAUUCUCAACCGGCCACACUGCUUCAUCUUCCCCGAUUGAUCCCUCCUCCUCCGGAGAGAUUGUUCCUGCGUUCAGCGACCAACCAGACGCAAUUUCAUCAUCUUCCUCACUCAAUUCCUCAAAUCGACAGCAAUUGGUGCACUUUGCUGGGCCCAUCUCCUCAAUAAUUCUUAUUGUGUAAGUUGUAUCACCAAUCCUGAUCUUCCUUGCCACAGAGAUGAAUUCCAGGGACGUUGUUCUAACCUGAAGUCUGGCAAAUUCCAAGACAGAGAAUGAGUUGGUAGUCUCAUCGAUCAUUAUAAGAUCACCCACUGGUAAAACAAUGUUUCUAAAGCACUCCAUCGUCCAUAGGUGCAGUGGUAUACCGGUGCAUCGAACCCAGACCACCCAGUUUAUCGGUGCAAUCUCCUUCGACCAGGGUUGGACGCAACUCAGAAACUCCUCAAUCCACCCCUUGGCACCCGCAAGAGCUUCCUCCAAGUUCAGCUCGUCCGGGCCCGAUAUCAGGACCUUGUCAUCCCCCAUAUAGCGCACACGAAUCGUAUUAUGCCCUUCAAGCAUGAAGGCAUCCUGCAACAUUGGAAUCAAUUCCAAAUUGCUUAUGACUCCCACCAUGCUUCUACUAAUCCACUCCUCAACUGGAGGAAUCUCCGGACCACACCAUAUUUCAGUGCUCGCCAUCUUCAGAUUCGACUCCACUUUCCCCCUCUUUCACCAUCCACUUUUCCAGCGAUCCUCUUUCUCCCUUGUGCCCCCGUUUUCACCGUUUGAGCAUAUGAGUGGUUAUAUGUUCUUCCUGUGUUGUAAUGUUGUUUAGGUCCUUGCUCCUUGGUCUCUCUUUUUUGUUCCGUCUCGGGUCUAUGAUAUGCUUUUACCACCUUCAUGUUGUUUUCCUUGGAAUACCUGGCCAAAUUUACAUGCACCUUCUCUAUCCCAAUCACAAUUUGGUUCAGUCUCAGCUCCAAGUACUUAACAUCCUUGAUAUCCUUGAAGUGAACGAAGCCAAACCUCAAGCCCUCCUUGGUUCUCGUAGCUGGGAUGUAAAUCUCCCAAACCUUUUCAUAUCUCCGGAAAAUUCUCCACAUGACCUCUUCUCCAAAGUUGUUUGGGAAAUUAGAGAAGAAGAAAGUAGUGAUAUUCCCCCCCUUCCUUCUUUCCACCGUCUUCCAACCUUCAUCUGCAUCAGCUUUGUGACUUUUCCUCUCCCAUACCCAAACCCUAUCACUCCUUCUCUCUCUACCUUUCUCUCUCAUCACUCAACUUUUUUUAGUAGACACGGUUCCAGAGGGUUGGAGGAUAAUUCGGAGGAUGGUCUUACACACCCUAUUCAACUAGCUCAUUGGAGCAAUUCAGCUGUUGAAUCUGUUAUUCAACAGGUCUUCAACAUGCCCAUUGCAUGUAGUCUUAUGAGACUUUAUCCAUCAUGUAUAACAUGAAUUGAAUAAUCUAUUACUUUACGGUAUUAAAGUGGAUUGAUGAAUAAAUUUUUACAAUAUAAUGUUAGCACCAAAUAGUAGAUAAAAUUGUAAGAUAUUAUACAAGCUCUAUCAUUAUACUAUUCGGCAUACCAAACUAGCAUGGAGUUGUCUAAAUGACCCAUGAUAAAGUUUGGGUUAAGUAACCUAUCAUCCAAUCACAUUGAAGAUAAGUGAGUUGGAAUUUCUAUAUUUUAUUUAUUAAUUUAUUUCCAACUCAUUUAUCUCAAAUGUGAUUGGAUGAUGAGUUAUUUAACCCAAACUUUAUCAUGGGUCAUUUAGACAACCCAAACUAGCAUAUAUAAUUUAAUAUGAAAAAUUGUUUAUUUAAUCAUUUAAGAAAGAGAUUUUAAAAUGGAAUAAACAAGUAAUUAUAAUUAUAAUUUUUUUAUAAGCAUGUUUAUACUUUAUAUGACCAAUAUGAUGAGUUCAGUGGCCAACCAUCAGGACAGAAAAUGGCCGAGACAGAUUCGUCCUCCCCUUCUUCGACAUCUGAACCCGCGGCAUCGCUGGCGUCGAUAGCAGAGAAUCUUCAGCGUUCUGCAGUUCAAUCUGCUCGCACUGUGCAACACAACUCUUCCACCCAGUUUCGUACCUUUCAGGUUUCCUUCUUCAUACCAUUCUCUGCAUAUUCUUUACGCCAUAGGGUUCUUACAAAUUUCAAAUCAUACUCUGUAACACUACUUGUUCUGCUUAUGCUUCAAACUCAUGUUUGAUUUCUUUAUGGACGAUUGAGAGUCAAAUAUUUUGGGGGCGCCAACAAUGUCUAGAAAAUAAUCUAGAUUGGUUACGAAGUAGAGAACCAUUAAGGAGAUUUUUAAUUUCAAGCCCUAGAAACCGAAAAUAGGUCAAUUUUUCGACACCGAUAGCGGAUGCCAGUUUGCUUGAAUUCCGCCAUGACCAAUAUUUGACAAGACUGAUUCAGCUUUCAUGGCAUUGAUAUGUAAGAGAGUGGGCUGUAGUCUAGGUUUGAUAAUGCUAGAUUUAGAUCUGGUUUGCAUUGGAUAGAUGUUAGCUGGAUGAAUAGAAGAUGUUGGAGGAACAAGUGCAGUAAUGACUUGUAAAGUCGAAGUUAAGAUUUGCUUUUAAUUAUUUUCUGUAGGAUAGUGCUGGAUUGGUAUGCCAGAUAGGACAGUGCUGUUAGAAAUGCAUCAUCCUUGUAAUGAACUAACUAUCUAUAAAGCUUAACUUGUUAGGUGAAGACACAUCAAUGGUUUGAAAUUGUAUUUCUAACACGUCCCUCACGGAAGAGCCCAUUGGGCCUGAAGCAUGGACAAUGCAUAAACUCACAUACCUAGUACUGAAAUUCAACUUUUUAUUAGAAUAAUGGGGGCAACAAGGAUUGAAUUCUAGACCACUUGGUUAUCGAGGCCGUGAUACCAUGUCAUGAACCAACUAUCCCAAAAACUUAAGCUGUUGGGUGAAGAUACAUUAAUGAUUUUAUAUUUGUAACGAUCCAAAUACUUAAUAAGCUAUAACUUAAAAGGCAUAGAAACAUGAGCUAAUGGGGAAGGCCGAAGGCCUAAUUCAACAAUAUGCCAUUGUUUACAAUCAUAUGCCCUAUUUUAGUGGUGUUGUGAGGGAAAAUCUACUUGAGUAACACCCUGAUCAGUGAGAAAUUUAGGAAAAGACCUGUAUUCACAUUCUCAAUCGGUUUGUACUUUGUAUAUAGCUUUAAGUUUUGUGUUCAACUGCAAUUCAGCAGAGCAGAGGCUGUAAACUGCUUAAAGGUAACUAAAGGAUCUGAUUUUGAUUUUAAGAGAUAAAGCCAUGUUUACUUAGAUUGCAUCAAUAGAGGUAAUGUAAUAAAAUAGACACAAGAGUUUUUUAUGCUACUAGUCCCCACAAGUAUUCUAAAGGGAAAGAUUAUGCAAUAGUAGAGGGUUGAGAUGGUAUUGGUAAUCUAUGAGCUUUACCAAGAAUACAUGCUGAACAGAAAUGAACACCAACUUUAUUUGAAACAGGAAUUUCACAAAGGUGCAAGGCAUGGUUCAGUACAUCAGAAUUAGGAUGACCUAAUACCAGAUGUUGGCAUAACAAGGGAAGUAUCUGAAUUAUUACUUCCUUUUGAACUUGGACUAGGCCUAACUCAACCCUAAAAGCUAGCUCGUAAGGUAAGGAUUGCCAAAGCCUUUAUAACUUAUAAGCUCUUAGUUAGCCAUAUCUCUAGUGUCAUAUCUCACCACAUCGCUCUUAUGCUCAAAACUGUAUAUCCAAAGCGUGAAAAUUAUAGGACUAGCCCGGAAGGUGAAGAUUGCCAAAGCAUUCAUAAGCUGUACUUUGGCCAUAUCUCGAUUCAAUUUGGGAUCUCAAACAACUGUUUACCCUAGAAACCAGAAAAGAGAAAAUUUACAAGAGGACCAUUUAGAUGGGACUUUGAGCAGAAAUAUGAUUGAUGGCUUUGACUUGAAGCAAUCAACUUCAGGUCUGAGAAUUUAGGGAGCCACCUACAGUUCAUUGCAGCAAGGUCUGUGAUUUCACAACACUUCAGGUGAACCUCAAAGUAAAUAGCAUUAUCUUGAACAGAUUUGCUUGCACUAACAAAGUUCUUGGUAAUGAAAGGGACUUGAAGUGGAUUAUGGAGGACAAGUAAGUUUAAGGAUUAAUUGCGGAGGAAAGAUAUGUGGAACCAAUACAAUACAAACCCUAACUGUUACCAACAAAGAGAUGUUAUCGCCCAUCAAAACUUUUCAUGUGCUACAACAGGUUUUGUGAGUUUGUAGUAACAUGAUGUGAUGCACCUGAGUAUGGAUAACUAGACUUCUUUGAGACUAACACAAUUGCUGUGUUUGAAGAGGCACUGAUGAACCAGAACUGCGCCGAGCAGAAUGUGCAACAGGUCAUGGAAAAUGUUGGUAGGAAGGUGGGGCAGUUUAAGAAUUGUGUACGAAUUAAGGAGCAGACGGCCACUGUUGUGGAGGACGACAUUGCAUGAAAGAUUUGUUGAAAGGUGAUAGAUCCCCAAAUAGAGAAUGGGCUGAAACAACUAACCCAAGGCCCAAGGUAUGGUGUGUGUAUGUGAGGAGAGGAAAGAAUAGGAAGAAUCCAGAAGAAGAGUGAGCUGGCAGUGUGAGAAAGGAGUGCUAGGAUGAGUUAGUUACGGGAAUCAGGGGGGGUAUGUGUAUAAAGGGAAUUCUGUUAGCAUGAGGGAGACAUCUGUGAGUAUUGCUUUUGUUAGAGAGAAUAGAGAAGUUAUGCUUUCUCUAUAGGAGCCUAGCUCUGGAGUAGUAGUGAUACUACUGUAAUCAUCUUCCUUUCACAUAAUUCCAUUAAGCAAUUUUCUCCCAUUAUUCCCUUUUCCUUUCUCUGUUGCAUUGGUUCCCAUCAAAUUGGUCCGACCUGCCGGAUCUUCCGAGACGGAUACCAGUGUUCAUCGUCGGUGUUUUGACAACAAAUGCCACCGGCGAAGAAGAUGGAGGCUAAGGUUGCAGCUCUCGAAACUGAAGUCGUCAACCUGCGUACCACCUUGAUCACCAUGCAGGAACAAGCAGAGAGAAAUCAAGCUCGCUUGCUAGACCUGCUAACUCAGCGAUUGUCGAAGCAAUCGGUUGAACGCGAUGAAUCCGGAAGUACGAUCAACAACUCUGCUACCAGAUCGGGAACAGAGCAAGGAGGAUCUUCCAACGUUUCGGGAUGGACACGCUUGGAUGGGGGAUUGUUGGAUGAAUUCCGCAAAUCCGCUAAGAAGGUGGAACUCCCACUGUUCAAUGGAGAAGAUCCAGCGGGGUGGAUAGCUCGUGCUGAAGUCUAUUUCCAUGUAAUGGGAACAAGCCCUGAGGUUAAGGUGAACUUAGCUCACCUAUGCAUGGAGGGAGCUACCAUUCACUACUUCAACUCCCUGUUGUAUCUGGAUCCCGGAUUGACAUGGGAGAAGUUAAUCAACGAGUUACUGGAACGUUAUGGGUCUGCAAGCAAGGGAGAUGUCUUCGAGCAGCUCUCAGAUCUACCCGACAAGCAAUACUUUGGGAAUUUCAUUCAUGGCCUCCGUGAAGAUAUCCGUGCUCGAGUUCGGAGUAUGCGAACUCUGAUUUCUCUUCCUCGUCCUCGUCUCAUACCCUUGGCAAGAGCGGUGGAAACGGAGCUCCAUGGACCAGGACAAUCUCUUUCCGGGUCAAAGGGAGGAAGCUCCAGUAUGGGUUUCGGGUCGGGUUCGUUCACCCGAGCAGCCCAUCAAAUUUCUCCUGGAUCGGGCCCAACAGGUCAGAACUCAAACCAAGGAUGGGUAAUAGUUAAGAAUCGCGAAGACAGAUUGGAACGGCGAGAAGACGAAGGGAAAUCUCCCACAACACCACGCGACAAAGGGAUAAGGCACCUUCCUUACCAGGAGCUUCUUGAUCGGCGCCAGAGGGGUUUAUGCUUCAAGUGCGGCAGGAAGUAUCACCCACUGCAUCAGUGUCCUGAAAAGCAACUCCGAAUCAUGCUAGUCGAUGCGCUGGAGGAUAGUGGUGAAGCACCAGAGUCUUGGAACGUUGAGAUGGGAGCAGAGGAGACGGAAGCAGACGGAGAAUUCAGCGUUAUGAAGAUGGAAGAAGAGCCCGUACAAGCCCAGACUAUGGAACUACAAGGUUCCAUCCAUGGCGUUCCCAUCAUGAUUUUGAUUGACAGUGGAGCAACCCACAAUUUCAUAUCCAAACGUGUGGUGGAGGUUAUGGGGUGGUUUGUUCAGUCGACUCCAGCGUUGCGCAUCCGUUUGGGUGAUGGCCAUAAAGCAAUUGCCAGAGGAAAAUGCAAGCAAGUGGAGGUGGGAAUAAAUGGGUACAAGACCACAGUGGAUGUGUUACCUUUUGAUUUGGAAGGAAUUGAUCUGGUGUUGAGAGUAGCUUGGCUUGUCACUUUGGGGGAGAUGAUUGUGCAUUGGGGCAAACAAACCAUGAAGUUCCAGCAAGAGGGGAAAUGGGUUUGUCUGCAGGCUCAGGACUUCUCACAGAAAGGGGAAUUGGCGUUAGAGAGUUUUUUUGGCCAAGUACAUCGUGAGGCGGGUGAGUAUUAUCAAGCUACAACACUAAGAACUGCAAUUACAGCAGUAAUUCCCAGAACUGAGAACCAUUUGACUGAAGCACAGGAACAACAAUUGGCUACAUUGUUGGCUGCUUACAGUGAUGUCUUGGCUGCACCAACAGGCCUGCCACCCCAAAGACAAAAAGACCAUCAAAUUACCUUAUUGGUUGGCCAAGGACCCGAUAAAUUUCCGAUUCCAGUAAUUGAAGAGUUGUUGGACGAGCUGCACGGAACGCGCUACUUCCCCAAACUUGAUUUGAAGUCAGGGUAUCACCAAGUCUUUGUGAAGGAAGAAGAUGUUCCAGUAGGUGAUCAUCAUGUUGAGAAAGAAGCACCAAGUGGGAUGGAUGGAGAAUUCAUGGAUGCCAUAGAGCCUGAGGGAGUUUUUUCCACCCGUGCAGUACUGCAGCAGGGCGACACUGUGAACCAGUACCUUAUUCAGUGGCGCGGAAAGUCUGCAGGAAAGGCUACUUGGGAGGAAGAACAGACCAUUUUGAACCAGUUUCCCGCGUUCAACCUUGAGGACAAGGUUGUAUCUCAAGGCGGUGGAAUUGAUAGAUCCCCAAAUAGAGAAUGGGCUGAAACAACUAACCCAAGGCCCAAGGUAUGGUGUGUGUAUGUGAGGAGAGGAAAGAAUAGGAAGAAUCCAGAAGAAGAGUGAGCUGGCAGUGUGAGAAAGGAGUGCUAGGAUGAGUUAGUUACGGGAAUCAGGGGGGGUAUGUGUAUAAAGGGAAUUCUGUUAGCAUGAGGGAGACAUCUGUGAGUAUUGCUUUUGUUAGAGAGAAUAGAGAAGUUAUGCUUUCUCUAUAGGAGCCUAGCUCUGGAGUAGUAGUGAUACUACUGUAAUCAUCUUCCUUUCACAUAAUUCCAUUAAGCAAUUUUCUCCCAUUAUUCCCUUUUCCUUUCUCUGUUGCAUUGGUUCCCAUCAAAAGGAUGGUUACAUCUCUUGGUUUCAUGGCCAAAAUUUAAAACAAACUUGGCACUAGGUGGAGCUGCGGCCUCCUCUACCAUUUCUAUCACGGCUACCUCAAACCAAUGAAUAUGUUGAGUACUUCGUAUUCAGUUGGAAGACUUGGAGAAUCACAUCAGGAUACUCUCGAGUUACUGGGUCUCCUAUAGGAAACAAAGAAUCAAUCAUGGCCUUGAUCCUAAAGAGAAUUCAGCAAUGCGGUGAUUUCCCAGCUUGUUAUUGUAGAGUGUGGUACAAAGUUGUGUUGAUUUGGCCGGAGUUUGGUUCUAAAAGAAAGUGGAGCUUUUCCCAUAGUUAAUACUUAAUAGGAAUGAUGCACCUAAUCAUACGGGUGAGAAUCGGACUAGAGAGUGAAGAUUGCAACGAUGAAAGGGGAAAUUGAUCCCGAUUUUCCCAAAUUGAAUAUGCACUGUUGAUUCAGCCAGCUGCUCGAUCUUCUUCGCUGACGAAUCUGGGUGGGAUUGUUGGAUUGGCAACAUAGUGAUGAAACUUGUGGGCUUUAAUUACAGGCUCUAGGAUCAUCUAAUGCCAUAACUUUAUUUCAUGCUCUCUUAAUAUUUUUUUUCUUUCCAUAUUCUGUUUUAUGAUUUAAGAAAGCCCUGGCCAUGUUAAUCCAUUUUGUAUCUCAAUAAAGUAUAUGACCGACUCCAAAACUCAUCCCGGCUAUGUAUGAUUCUUUUGCAGAACUUUUUACCCAAAGCAGUGUCACAGUAUAGAACUUAUGAAGAUGCUUUCUUCAAUAAAGUUAAAGGUGAUUAGACUUGAAUUGUAUCAAUAUUAUGAGUGUUGGAUGGGUGCUUCAACUUUGAAGCCCUUAUUGAUGGUUCAGUCAGAAUUAUGGUUUAUGGCCUCUAAUUGGGUUCAAGUUAUAGUUGUUUCUUCAAGUGUUUUCACUCUUAUGAAUACAGAUCAAGAAGCCUCCCUAAAUUUUGAAUCUUGACAUGGUUUUGUUUGUUGAAUUUUUUCUUUUCAAUAAUUUUUUUCUCACCCAAGUUUUCAAGGGAUCUAGCAUUUGGCUGAUAUAUCUAAUAUGUUUUAUAAAAGUAAAGUAUGUUUCUAGUCCAUAUUCACCUGUCAUUAUUUAGUUUUAGUCCAUGAUUUUUAAAAUGCUCUAUUUUGGUCCCUCAUUCUUUGAAUAGUGAUGUUAACAAAUUGGUGAACCAAACUGUACAAAAGGUGGUAACAAUUUUAAACAACAUUUGUGGCACCACACUUGUCCAUUGUAGUUGUCCAAAAUAUUAGUUUGCACUCAAACCCCAAAACAAAAGUCAAUGACUAAAAUGAGACUAUUUUAGAAGAUGAGGGACCAAAAUGGAGUGUGAUAAAAAUCAUGGACUAAAUCAAACAUUGGGACUAAAAAAUAUGUUUUAUCCUUUUUUUUCCAUAAAAAUUAAAAUUGUUGAUCUUAUAAUACUCUUUUUCUCAGAUGUAUUAACACAUGGUAUUAAUCCUCAAACAAGUUCUUGGCCAUUGAAGCUGUUUCUACUUAGUUAUGCUGUUUUAUAUAUGUAGCAUCAAUAUAUACUCUUAACCCUUUCGCAGAUGGAUUGAUCGUUGCAAAGGAGCAUCAAGCUUUAGGUGUUGGUUUUGCUGUUUCCGCUGCCCUUCUUGCUAUGCGAGGUACUUCUUCCCAUCAUUGGACAAAAAAUAUCAAGUUUUCCUGUGUACUACCCAGGCUUGUUAAUAGCGCGCUAUAGCGUAGCGCCCUGAGGGUUCACCGCUACUCCACUAUUCACCGCUAUAGCGCUGCAAUAGCGCUCGAAAUAGCGUUUUUUUUGGCUUGCCGCUACACUACGCUAUACGCCAUUAACAACCCUGGUACUACCACUCAGUUUUUCUAAAAAGGUUCAAUUAUGAUUUUGCAUCUUCAACUUCAUAUUAUCAUAAUACAAAGUAUUAUAUUAUUGCCAAGCUAAGGAAUUAUUUCUGUGCUCUUUUCUUUUUGCCUUGUGAGUUAUUGCCUUGCUUUUAUGUCUUUAAUGUAGUUUCUUUUGUACUAAAUCGUCAUAUGAGAUAUGACUAGCGUUUGACCUUUUAAUUACUAGCAAGCUGGGUUUAGAUAUAAUUUGGCUUGGAUUAUUUUGAACCUGCUCUAAGGCUUGUAUUCAGCUUUCGUAUGAUAUAUUUUCCCAACUUUUAAUUUUAACUUUGAAUAGUUCUAAGGCUUGCAUUGAGGAGCAGCUGUUUUCUAUGUUCCUUGCACCAUUUGGUAUUUAAACCGUAACGUGAGGCAUACUGGCUUACAGUAUAGUUGGAUUUGUUGCGGAGUAUGCUUGAAGAUUUGUAAUGUUUGAUUUAUGCUUUGAAGUGACUAUGCAUCAUUUAGGAGCUUGCAUUGUCAAUGAAGAAGGCAGCCUCGACCUUAUAGGCAGUCUGGAAGUUAUUCUAGAGAAUGAUAUCAUUGUAGAAUGGAAUCAUGGAUCUUCAAAAGGCACCUGAUUUACCACAUGUUCAACCAAUAAGUGGGGUUUUCAUUGAUCCAAUCAAGAAAUCACUCAACUAGUGGAAGAUGAUGUGCUGAAUCAAAGAUUCUAAGAUUAAAGUAGUCUAUUCAUAAUAUAUUCCCUGAAAUAUUUCUCUCUAUAGUCUAUUCAUUUAGAAAAUAGAAAUUCUUAGAUCUGUGACAUUACAGAAUAUCUGAUUUAGAAAAUAAUAUUGAUUUUGUCUACUGAAUGUAAUUUUAGUUUUAGUUCUAAAGCACUUUAUGUUUUCGCAGCUCCAAGAAGGUUUCUGUUUCGUAACACAUUGGGUCGGUUUCAGAGUGAGGAGGUAUUUUUCAGUUUAACAAUCAAGAUGCAUCCCUUACCUAUGUUGUUACGUACUGCUCCUCCCUAUUUGUGCUGCAUAACCUACUCUCUGUUUCUUGUAACUUGAGUUCAUUUUGGACAUUCUAUCUUGAGAUCUUAGGCAGUUGUGUGUUAAAAGUAGUAAUUUUUCCCUAGUGCAUAUUCUGUUGUUUGUUUCACCAUUUUACAUGAAUACUUGUGAAGGCUCGGUAUGCAAGUGCUGAGAAGAAUGUGAAGGACUUGAACCUUUCAGUAGAUUUACUGAAGAAGGAGAGCAUAAAAUUGCUUGAAAGGACAACUCUUGCUGAGAAGGAAAUGAAGUAUGGGCAUACCGAACUAACGUAUGUAUUAUCAGUUAAGCAAAGGACGUUUUGUUAUUUGUUUACAGCUGAAGCAUGCCUGAAUGUUCAAUUUCAAUAAUGUACAGGAUCACUGGAGCCCAACUUCAACGGCUGGCAAAAUCAUCAUACAAGGUUGAAGCCCAAGCUGCUGGUAUGCUAUCUUUUAUAUUUUAGAAAAUCACCAAAAAGCAACUUCUGAUAAAUAAUACCAUCAUAGAAAAAUAUUCAUAUUUUUCCCGUGCACAAGUCAUAUUUUAAACACUUAAAGAAAAUUUAACACAAUUUGCUCUCUUGUCUUUUUUUAAUUAUUGUUCUUUUUCUUCUUCUUUAAAAUAGGAUUUCCUUCUAUACUUCUCCCUUGAAUGAAUGGUCAUUUUGGUCCGUGAAAAAAAUUGAUCGACGUUUAAAUUGUCCAAAUCUGACGUCAGGAUUAACUUGAUUACACAUUCAAAAACUUGUUAACGUAUUUUCUUCUUUCAGAGACUAAGUUGAUUAUUCACUCUUCUCCCUUUCAUAUUUGUUUGGGAAUGUGUAAUGAUAUCUAUGGAUGUCGUUUUGGAAUUUACUUCGUCUUAUCAUGCUGUAGAUUUAAUAGACAGGCUGCGGCAUAUACCUAGUCGUGAAGCACUGACACUUCGAGCUGAGGCAAGGCUAUGACUUUAUCUGUUUUUCUGUGUUUCCCAUAAGUCCAGUUAUGUUACAUUACUUACUGUUUGUUUGCUUUGUCUCCACUACAAACACGUGAUCAGGUUGCCUCUUUGGCUUCAACAUUGAAGCGGCAGAGAUCUGCGAUGGAUAAACGGAUAAUGAAGAUCUCCGAGUUAGGGAUUGCUGUGUGAAGUUUUGGACCUUCUCAAUAUGCACACCCAUCUUAGUCAUACUCAUUUUCUUGAAUAAAUGUUGGGGCAUCCGCAUACAACUAUAUACUUGUAAUGCAGACCCAUCUACUGGGCGGAUUUUUUUUUUCUUUAGUAAAUUCAGUGAAUAGGUGUAACUGGAAAAUGUUUUUUUUUUUUUUUUUUUUACUUUAGUAAAUUCAGCAAAUGAGUACACGAUAAAAUGCCACACUUACAUGAGAAUACACAUCAUUAAUAUGGCAAAUAUGCCAAUAAAAUACAUAUAUGAUGCAUCACAAGACUUACCUAAUGUUUAACUCAACAAAGACGAAACCAGGAUUUAUUUUUUCUCCUGGAACGUAAAUAUGAAUGUCAUUUAGGUAAGUAUAUGGGGCCUAUUUAUCAAUCUAGAUCUCCUUUAAACUCCUACAAGUACGUCCUAGACCAUUGUGCGAUAUUCAAGUAAGUAGGUAUACUUUUAAGUUAAUAUAUGUUUUUUGGAAUGUUUCUUGCUACCACCUCACAUCUAUCAUGUCACCUUUAAAUUUAAAAAAUCUGAAAAUACUCUUAAAUAUUAAAUAUGAUAGAGUUAUAUAUGUAUUUAAAUUUAUAAUUCUUGGAGUUGAAAUUUGGGUUCUCAUUCAAUAAUAGACUUAGCUUAUUUCCUCUGUAACCAAAAAAAAAAAAAGACUUAGCUUGCUUACUACACUAACACUUUAUUGAUUAUUCACACAACUCCUCUAAUCCAUGAUGCCUAUAAAAAAAAAAAACACAACUCCUCUAACUUGCACUAAAAACCCACAUUCAUUCAUGCUAUCUUUAAAUUUGAAAAUCCAAAAAUACCCUUACAAAAAUUUCUGCUCACACUUUUAAAAUGCGUUAUGUACGUACUUUGAAAGUUAUGCAUGCACUUUAAAGUGCAUUAUGUACGAACUUUAAAAUGUGAGCACACCGGUUAAUGUUAAGUUUGUAACUCUUGCAACUUGUGUAACUCUCAAUUUCUUAUAAACACAUGUUAAACAUUAUUUUUACUGUUAAUUUCUAUGCUUCAUCAGAUGCCAUAUAUAGGGGUUCAUGUGUCUCUCUUUCUCACACAAUUCUAUUAUGCUUUUCUACUAUGCUUUCUUUUAGUUUCUUCUUCCUUGGGUACAAUGUAUGAGGCUGGGUUCCUUGUAUUUCAUUCUCAACAUUAGCACGUAUGUCAUGUCUGAUGUUGGAUAUUCCGAUUCAGAUAUGCAAACGUGCUAUUGUAGGUGUUCAAUAUCCUUUUUCAGAUAUGACAAACGUUUGAGUAACGUGCGACUCAGCCCAUAAAUGUGAAAGUAGGGGUGCAACCCAAUGAAGAAAAUGAGUAAGUAAUUAAAAGUUGUAUGUGAAUAUUUUAUGUGGUUGUUAGAGUAUUUUCCAUAUCUUCUAUAUGGUUAUGGUGAAAUGUCAUAGUCAUAAUUUUUUUUACUAUUGAGUUUUCCCACUAUGCUUUGGAGUCUGCGUUCAAACUGAGUAGUCCGAUAACGAUCACAAUGUGGAUCUGGACACUUUUAAAGAGUCAAUGUAUCUAUACCUUUUCAAGGGUUUUGUUUUGUAUAUAAUGAUAUUUGAUACAAUUUUGAAGUGAUGUAAAUAAUUGAAAUAUAAGAAUUUAUUUGUAAGAUUUUAUUUUGCAUAGUUUUUAUGAUGGAUUAAUCUCAAAUUGGUCCAUAUCUUUGUCUCGCCGUCUGACCUAGGUCCCUCAACGGAAAAAUUAUUGAAAAAGUUCAUCUUCUUUGUAAAUCGUUUGAAGCAAGUCCUCGUCGGAGCGAUAAUUUAGCAUGCUAAUUGUGUUAGUGAAACUUACAUAAAUUUAAAAAAAAUAAAAUAAAAUUACACAUCAUAAAUUAAAUUAAAUUAACAAAAUUAAAUUACAUUAAGAACCCAUAUUAACCCCAAUUCUAAAUCCCUAAAUACACCAACACUUUAUUGAUACUUACUCACACAACUCCUAUAACUUGCACUAAAAAUAAGAGAAGAGUGUAAUAAAAUCAGAAGUAACCUCAUUAUAGUUCAUUUCACUUGUACGGGUACACUAUUUAAUGUCGACGCUGAAGUUAACCUCCAGGUAUAAGUCAUUCCAAACUUGCACAUACAUACAGUAAUUAAGUAAUUACCACCACCAAUACAAUCCCCGCAGCUCAAAACAAAUUGACUUUGUAGCGGUGAAAAUAAAGAUCACAUCAAAUGGAUCUGCGAACAAUAGCCUCGCCUUAUGUGCUCACAUCGGGAAUUACGUCAUCGUACUCCUUCUACUACUACUAGCUCCAGUCAUUCAUUCACACAUUCACUCAUUCAUUCAUUCCACUCCCGAUUCCGAUUCCGAACGAAACCCUUGGAUUCGGCGAUGCCGCUUUAUUGUUAACAAUCAGAUCUAGAUAACUUCAUUGAGUAGCGGCGCGGCGGAGAUGGAGGGGAAUUCCGGCGGUGGUGGUGGUGGCGGAAGCGGCGGUGGAGGUUCUGAUGUGGAGCUUCUGUGCAAGACGUUGCAGGUGGAGCACAAGCUGUUCUACUUCGAUCUGAAGGAGAAUCCUCGCGGUCGCUACCUCAAGAUUUCGGAGAAGACUUCUGCUACGAGGUCCACCAUCAUCGUUCCGUUCUCCGGCAUUUCCUGGUUUCUCGAUCUCUUCAAUUACUAUGUUAACUCUGACGAUCAAGACCUCUUCAGUAAGGAACUGCAGCUUGACACCAAGGUAACUCAACCCACCCUCACUCUUCAAUUCAGCUCCAAAGAUUUCAAUCUCACCACAUUGAUUGUAGUGUUUUUAUCAAAUUGAUUUGUUAGAGAUGCAUAAUUGUUGCCAAAUUUAGAGUAAACAAUCAAUUUUCAUUUGCAGGACUCAGGUAGUAAGUAGUAUACAAAAGUAUGAAUUUGGUAACAAUUUCGCUUAAUUGCACCUCCGAUUGCUCGUUCGCGAUUCGCUUUAAGUGGGGACCAAAAGUGCAAUUAAGCCUAACGAUUUUGUAUCUUUGACCGACUAAUUUGAUGAAAAGCAUUCAUUUGAUGGAGGCCAAACUGACAGAUUUUUCCUUUUGUUUUUCAGGUUUUUUACUUCGACAUUGGGGAGAAUAGGAGGGGCCGCUUCUUAAAGGUACUUGUUACUUGAAUUAGGUUUAAUAUGCUUUUUAUGUUUGUUGGUUUGAUGACUAUUGUUCUUGACUUUAUUUUUUCCACAUAGACAUGUCAGAGUUUUGCAGUGGUAUGUUUCUGUAUUGCUGCAGAGGGAAGGUCAAAACAUCUAGGAUUUGUAGAGUUUACAAUUGGUGGUUUUAGGCUUUUAGCAUGCAUGUUUUUUCAUGAGCUAUAAGGAAAUUUAGUUAAUGGCAUUGAAGGUGUUGUGAUCAACCAAACCCUGGUAUGAAAAGGUGGAAAAUGAAUAGCAGGUUUUACCAUUUCAACUUGUUUAUCAGUUGGAAAGAGCCUGAUAUAUAUAACAGGUUAGGGAUAUUAAUAACCUUAGGAUUUGAAUGAAGAUUUUCUUUUUCUUUUUUAAAUCAAAACUAGGAAUGUGAAACAAAAAUGUAAAUGUGUGGUAAUUGAUUGGGCUGCUGCUUGUUAGACAUUCCUAAAUAGUUGCUUGAAUGCAUAAUACUACUUUAAGCUCUUGGAAUUACACACUCUUCCUGGUCAAUGGUUUAUAUGCAAGCAUUUUGCUCUGCAGAUUUUUUUGUAGAAUUAUUUUGGUAAUGGUGGAAACAAAGUGCUUGCAUAUAAACAUUGUGGAUUUGUAUGGCUUGAACUCUGAAAGUAAAGGCCUGAUUACAAUGAGAAAAAGAGAACCUUAUGGAAGUGAGCUUUAUCUGUAAAAAUCAUGCCUUGGCAGAUUUCUGAUUUAUCUUAGCAUUGACUUCUGAAGCUUAGUUUUUAGAUGUUUGACUGAAUCUCUUAAGGUUGCAAAAAGCUGUAUCUUGUUUUGCAUCUAUUUGGGCUUACCUAAUUUUAUUGUGGAAUUUCUAUCUUAGGAUGAAUAUUUUAUGUAUGUUUUUUUUGUGUGUCAAGAUUAUGAUUCUAAUUUAUUUUUGAAGGUGUCGGAGGCUUCUGUAAGCAGAAACCGUAGCACUAUAAUUGUUCCUGCAGGAAGCUCCAGGGACGAAGGGUGGGCUGCAUUCAGAAACAUUUUGGCAGAGAUUAAUGAGGCAUCAAGGCUUUUCAUUAUGCCCAAUCAGGUUUCCUUAAUUUGCAUGUAGACAUUUUUUGUAGUUCCAAUUUAUCUUCUAGGAUCUGUUUAAUGUCAUCUAAUUGUUUGUAUUGCACAGCAGCAAAAUUCUGAAUCCUCAGAGCGUCUUGUCGGACUUUCGGAUGAUGUUGGUGCUGGCUUCAUAUCUGGUCAUAGUACACAACCUGCAACCUCUUCUGAAUUGAAUGUGGACAGGUCUGUUGAUUUACCAGCUCAGGAUGAAAUUGGAAACUUGGGGGUCUCAAAAGUUAUCAGGGCUGAUCAAAAAAGAUUCUUCUUUGAUCUUGGGAGCAAUAACAGGGGUCAUUUCUUAAGAAUAUCUGAGGUUUGUUGCCAUUGUCUUAUUGUCCUUUACCCUUUAUUAUGUUUUAGUGUUCGAAUAUGACUUUCUGCUUUAAAUUCUUGUUAUUUCAUUGCAGGUUGCAGGUUCUGAUCGUUCCUCCAUCAUCCUUCCUCUGUCAGGGCUCAAGCAGUUUCAUGAGAUCGUUGGUCACUUUGUUGAAAUCACCAAGGACCGAAUCGAGGGAAUGGCAGUUGCAAAUGUCCGCACAGUUGAUCCCCCUCAAAGAUGAGUGCUAACAUAUGGGGUUUUCUGUGACAACAAGUAGUCACUCUCGGCCAAGGUUUCGUUAGGGAAUGGGUGUUAUCGCUGUAUCUGAUUGUGCUAUUUUUAUUUUUAUUUUUCCUCAGCCUUCUCCUUCUCAUGUCAUCUUCAAUUAAUGCUUUUGAAAUAAUCCAAACACUGGUUGGUUGGUUAGCAGAAUAAAUGGAAUAUCUUGGCAAGGUCAAUAUGAAUAGGAAAUAACAAAAGAGAAAUGAACCAGAGACUUGUAUUUGUUUGGAUAGUUUGGCACCCGGUCUAUAUGUUGUAAUAAUGAUUGUUUAAUUAUUUUGCUUUGCUGCACAGUUUUCACAUGGAUUUAAAGUUCUCAUACAGGCUGAGGUAUCAACCACCAUGCGUACCAUAUUUUUAGGUUCGAUGAUUGGCUUCCUCCUUGCUUAAACUUAGCUUUCAUAGUUUUACCAUCAUUUAUCUGUUUUUUUUUGUCAAUUCAUUUAUCUGUUUCUUGUGUAUCUAAACUUGGGCCAAAACUAUUUGGACCAUCCUCAUUUACUAUCCACACCAUCCUUUUGAGCAAAAAUACAAUUAUACCCCCAGACUUAAAAAAAACUGAAUCAAUCAAACAGGAAAAGAAAACUUCUCCCCACACCAUCUCCCUCUCUCACGGUUUCUCUCUUUCUCUCGGCCCUUUCAUUCUCAACUUUCCCAAAUGAAAAAAAAAAAAAAACCGUAGCCACCACCCUGAUCUUUGUUGGAGAAGGAAGGAAGGAGGAAGAAGGAUCUUGAAGAAGUUGGAGAAGGAAGCAAGAAGAAGAAGCAAAGGAACAAGAAAGAGGAAGAAGAGGAAGAAGGAGAAGUCAAACAUCAUCUUGACAAAAUCGCUUGGUUUCCCGAUCUGUUUCAAUACACAAUUUAAAUUGCGGUAGCUUUAUGCUUACGGCAAUUUAAAUUGGGGUAGUACUAUGUUCCUCUGUUUUUCUGUUCCUUGAUAUCCUUUGGGUUUUUGAAUCGCAAAAUCGGGUUGUGUUCGUGAGCCUUGGACAGAACAUAAGAGAAAUCGAUUUCUAAAACCUUCUGUUAAAUUCAAAACCUGCCUGCUAUGUUCCACUGUUGGAUCCGCAAUUAAAAUUGCGAUAGCUUUAUCCUUUCCGUCAUUUUAAUUGCAGUAGUGCUAUGUUUCUGAUUGUUUGAUCUGCAAUUAAAAUUGAGUAAACUACCGCAAUUUAAAUUGAGUAAACUACCACAAUUAAAAUUGAGUGAACUACCGCAAUUUUAAUUGAGUAAACUACCGCAAUUUAAAUUGCGGUACCUAUAAAAUGUCCGCAGUUUAAAUUGCGGUACGAACCAGAACCCAGAUUUUCACGAAAAACGGUAAAAUUUCAAAAAUGACACCUUUUUUGAGCUUCUAUUCUUCUCUUUAUCUCACCCUUUGACGUUUACACUGACUUGAAGCUUCAAAUACCUCUAAAGUGUGUGAUAUGUUGAUUUAGAAUAUGAAAUAGGGAUAUGGGGAAGGUGAGAGUGGAAGAGGAAGAAGGAAGAAGGAAGAAGGAAGAAGGAAGAAGGAAGAAGAAAUGGGGUUGGGAGAGUAUUUUUUUCCCUGCUUUUAAUGUUUUAUACGUUGGGGGUGCUUUUAGGAUUAAAAAAAUAAGGGAUGGUGUGGAUAGUAAUUGGGGAUGGUCCAGAACCCAGAUUUAUAAGUCACUUUUAUCUAAUUAUCUAGAAUUAAGAAAAGUAGUUGCUAGCAAUAAAUUAGUAAAAAAAUUUAUCAACUUUCCUAGAUUGCCCCAUAAAUUUCUCUCUCCAAAUUUAUUUUCUUCAAAGUCACACCAUCUCUUUCAUACUCCCUCUGUUCCUAUUUAUCUGUCCAGGUAGAGAAGGUUCACACAAAUUAAGGAAAGCAAUUAAUUGUGUUGAUUUUCAUAAAAGUAUUAUUUGUUUUCCUAUAUCACCCUUUAGAAUGUAUUUUAUCUUUCUUCAUUUAUUGUUUCUGUAAGGGCAUUUAUUGGAAAAACAUCAAUUAAUGCUCUCUUGAAACUCUAAGUGGACAGAUAUAUAGGAACGCAAUUUUUUCUUCAAAGUGGACAGUUAAUAAGGAACGGAGGGAGUAAUAAAUAUGAGGGUAAUUUUGGAAAAGGGAAUUAAAUGAUGCAUUGGUCUUAUAAAGUGACUUAUAUUUUAGGAUAAAAAAAACUCUAAAAAUGUGACUUAUAAAUGAGGACGGAGGGAGUAACUCAUUUCUCUAUCUUCUCUUCAUAUUUAUCAAAGGUGGAAGUGGAAAAGAAUUGUAAACACAACAUCAUUCAAUUAGUGGAGAGGACGAGUUGAGGAGUUUUGAUUUUGUGUGUGUGUGUGCAGUGAGCGUAAUCGAUAGAAGCAGGUAAAAAUAAUGGUCCAAAUUUCGACUUUUUUCAGGAGUCCAUAUUAGAUAAACCCCUAAAAUAAAUUAAGGUAAAAUAUGGAUUACACAUAAUGUUUCACUAAUUUUCAUAUUCAUUUUAGGUGUCUAAAGUCUCUGCAAAUGUGAGGAAAGUCCUUUAAGUGGAGCUUCCGGGUGCACAAUUGCCUUGGUGUCGUCGUGCUUAGGUAGUUUAUCUCGACCUUGCGUAAGACUGCACCACCACUUUUCUAGUUUAUAUGAGGUGGUCCGUGACUGAACCAGGUUACGUUGGCCGCUUUUAUGGUGCUUGCUUAAGAGCAAGCCCUGGUGGGCCGACCCAAUGUCGUCAACUAUUAUUUUGAUUUUUGUUUUCAUUGGCGCCGUCUUUCUAGACAUUCGUGCCGACCAUACUGUUUUCUACAUUCAUAUACUUCGUUGAGGGCCUACGAAACUCAUAUAUGUCUUGCGGUGACGUCUUGGCUGGUGAAGUAUGGAAAUACGUUCUCACUCUUAUUGCUUCAUAUAUCAGAUGAAGCUUCACCUUCAGGUCCAAACUUGUAAUGAGUGUCGCUUCUAUGUAGAAUUUCCUUAGGAAGUCUUGCAACGACUCCUUAUUUCCUUGCUUUAGUUUUUCUAAGGUAUGUGAGAUUUUAGGUAGACCUUUGCUUGUAAUGAAGUGGUGAGCGAAUUGUUGAUAAAAAAAUUUCCAACUUCUUAUUGUCUCAGUUUGGAUGAAGAGACUAGUACAAUAAGAAGAAAGUUGCGCCGUGAAUCACCCACUGCAUUGAAAGUAAAAAGUUUGACAGAUUUUCGGUGUAAUUCACUGUCGGGUUUGCUUCCCAAUAUUAACACAGCUUGUUUACACGGAUUUUUGGUAAACAAAUAUCCUCUUAGUUCGACUAAAGGAAGUUUAGAUUCGGGGUCCUUUUGAGAAAACGCUUUGCCAAAGUGUAGUGUGUGAACGAGUGUAUUCUCGACAAUAAUAAACAACUCAAACGAAACUGGACUUUAUUGAGUAUGAGUCGAUUACAAAACAGUCAAGCAAACUUAAAAUAGCAUGAAAGCAAAUUUCGACAAAACAAGUUACACAUAAGAACUGGGAAUUAACAAACUGAAAUACAAGGAAAUUAAAGCGUUGGUUCUGCAAUAUACUCCUCCAUCAUCACGUUCUGCUCUCGAAGUCUCAUUGAUGCGGACGUUUGGAGCUUUUGGUGAAUUUUCAGAGUUUUUAGUUGGGAACCCUUUCUUCUGCUGCUGCUUCCUCUAUUUAUACUGUUCUUUCUGCCCAUGUUCUUGGCGGUUUUACUUGGAUGCACGAUGGCUUCGUGGGUUUUGAAUUUUGGCGCCAUACCCCACGUUUAGCCGAUGGUCUUCGCGCACGUGACUCUAUUGCCACGUGGAUGGUUCUGAGUCGCGGGCAACCGUUGCUAUUCGUGGCAUCGUGGGUGUACGCACGUGCUUGUAAUCGCUUGUUAUUCGGUAACUGCCCCUUCCAUUAAGAUGAUCGAGAUUUCUUCAUCUUCUGAGUGUGUCGAGUUAUGGCUUUUACUAACUUGUCUUUGAGGGACAUCGUGUGCUGAGUUGCCGGCUUCGCCCAACCCCUUCUGUCGAGAAACCACUUUUUGCACCAUGGUGUCGAUAAUUGUAAUGCUUGUAAUUUUGGCUUAACAGUUGCCCCCGAAAAAUGUUGGUUGUCGACUGCUUUAGCUCAAAGACACCAAGCAUUUUUUCUUAUCGCAGCCGUUCGAUUCCAACGAUUCAAAUGCUUUGUGCUCUCGACCCUUUGAUCUUCAAGUCCAAUCGGCAGCCAUAACGUCUGAUGACUUCUCCACUAGCUGACAGUUAUAGCCUUUUUAGGGCCAUGAUUUCACCUAUGCCAAAAAGCUGAGAGGUGACAUGAAUUAACUAAUAAAAUAAUCGCUUGGAACCCAAAAUUUUUAUAAAUUGCUGCUCAAUGCGGCUUGGGUUCCGUUUUCCCUUCCGUUUAUAAAUACCCUCUUGGUAUUCCUUGUUCAAGCUUUACUCUUUCAUCCAACCUGCAACUUCUUCUUCCAGACUUCAUCACUUCAUCUUCUUCCGUCUUCUCUGAAAUACUUGCUGCGUCUUUCAAUGGCUUCCAAUCCUGAGCAAACCAUUCCGUUGGCCACCGAGCUUAAGCUGGAUGAGUCCAAGCGCGUGCCAAUCCCAGAACCUCCCAACGAAGCAAAGAAGAGAGCUAUCUGGAAAUCCCAGGUACUCAUUCCUUUCUCUGUUAAUGGUACUUUACGCGCCAUUUUGGGCCCUUUGAAAGUAGUGAAGCAUGAUAGGCCCAAUAGUCUCCCUGAAGAACAUGAAUCAUUUCACCCUAGCGUUAGGGGAGAGGAGCUCAUUUUGGCAUUUCAACCCUCUUACCGUAUGCCAUUUCUUUCUGACCCAAAACGAGCCUUUCGUUCAGCCCCUCCUAACCCUUCUGCUAACGACAAGGCCUACCUGAAAUGGUUAGAUAGAGUUGAGGGAGAUAAGAGACAACACUGGAAGGAUGUAGGGAUUUUCGACUUGAUUCAGUUGUCGAGAUCUCCAAUCUCGUAUAACCCUGCUAUGCUGUUGAGUGCACUUUAUUUCUGGGAGAGGUCCACUAAUUGCCUUCAUGUUCCCUUUGGUAUGAUCACCCCCACCCUCUUGGAUGUUGCUGCUAUCACCGGAUUGUGGCCCAUUGGUGAUGAUUAUCACUCUGCACCUGCUCCUGUUAAACCCAUCUCGAUCCCUACUGACAACGUUUCUUUUAGUCGAUUCAUUAAGGACCAUUAUGUCGAGAGUGGUGAGGUGUCUGAUGCUGAACAUGUCGCUUUCUUGCUGUAUUGGCUGUCUGCUUAUGUCUUUUGCACCAAAUCUUUGCGCAUACCUGCCAAGCUUUUGCCUUUAGCCAAUCUGCUUCAUGAGGGUCGACAACUUGCUAUGGCUAGGCUCGUCCUUGGCAACCUGUAUCAAAUGCUGAAUGAAGCUGUCGAGGAUAUCCGGAACACUAAGACCGUCUCUCUGAAUGCGGCUGGACCACUUUAGCUGUUUCAACUUUGGUUGAAUGCAGUCUUCGAAUCGCUUCUGCCGGUACAAGAUAAUCCUCUAACUGUUUCUAACACCAGGAUUGAUGCCCAUAGGCUCGAGACCCUGACCCCUGCUUAUGAUGCGUCGAGUACUUUACCAUGUUUCUCGAGCUGAAACACUACCGUUCCAGUUUCUCUCCUUACAGCAAGGCUAUUCGUGGCCCUUUCUGGCUGAGGAAUUCUUAUCCUAAUGCCUCUGAUUCUGCGCUGCCCAAGGAGCACCACAUCACACUUUGGAGGACCCUCUUAUCUCCUAGGGUUUUAACUGUGGGCUUUGCUAGCAGUGACUACACUCUAUGUGGCUACAACCCUCAAUUGGUUUCUCGACAGUUUGGGCUUAGCCAAGUUCUACCCAACACUUUAUUUGACAAGAGUCUAGUCCUGUACCCCGGAACUAUUAAGAGGGUUUCUGUUUUCGACAAGACUGUUCAAUUUUAUAACAAGAGACUCCUCAACCUGAGCCCCUUCACUUACGCUCCUUCAUAUUAUGCCACUAAUGCUUUCAAAGCCUGGUGGUCUGAGUAUUGGGCUCAAAUUUCGAAGCCCCUCGUCGAUUGUCUGCAAUGCAUGACAGAUACUUUUCUUUUGCAGAAGCAGGAUCCGAAGAAGACCAAAGGUAUGCACCUGGCAGAAAUUCGAUCUUUUCAAGAGUUCUUUGGUGUGGUAUAUUACCCAACUCUUCGCCUUCGAGAUACAGUUGCGCAAGCAGCUCAAGUAUUAAGGCAAAAAUGGGAACUUAAAGCCAAGAAAUCCAAGUUAGUGGUUCCUCCUGGUGAGGAAGGUCUAUCUUUUGUUAUUCGAAAAACUGGCUUUAGGUUCCCGUCUUUGCCUACGAGUAAGUUUGCAUUGGCUUUUCCACCGAUCUUGCCUAAAUGGGUUGAUCAUGUAAACAUAAAUGUAUUGGCCAAUCAAGCUCUACCUCCUCGAAAGCGAGUGACUUGGACUAAGUACCACCUAUGGAACUUUCCGUAUCAUGUGCCCGUCGAAAUCUUCAACCACAUAUCGCUGAACAUGCGUAUUGGUCAAGGUAAUACUUCGACUUGGCCUUGGUUUUCCUGUUUUACUUCUUAAUUUUUCUUUUGUUUGCAGCUGAAGUCAUUAUUUGACCAGCUCCUCAAGUUAUUUCCCCAGUGGCUCAUUCCUCCAAGGACCAGCCAGUCGUGAUCGAGGAUGAUGAUGAUGAUGAUGAGGAUGAUGAUGUCAGUCUUGCUGACAAGCUCAAGGUACUUUCCUCAUGCUUUUACCUUUUCCUUUUCGAUUUCCUUGGAUUAUGGGCUGACGUAUGUUUCGACAGAGUCGGAAACGGAAACCUAAGCCUGUUGCUUCGGCCAGUCAGAAGAGGGCCAAGGGGGUUGGUGUUUCCACCCCUAGUGGGGCUUCUAAGUUGGCAUCUGAUGCCCAAACAGAAGUCGCUGACAAAGAGGGUGGUGGCGACGCCGCCAUUCAGGUAUGUUCUCCAUUCUCGAGGGUACCUUGUGAUAUUUUUAACCCGUGGUUUCCUAAUCUGAGUCAUCUCUUGUUUGUUUUGUUUCCUUUAGACUGAUGUUCAUGAGCACUCUACUUCCAAUCCUCCAUCCCGUGAGAAUUCCCCAGCUCCCAUUCCUGCAAGAUCCAAAACUGAAGGUGUCGAGAAACCUCCCAAGGCCGCAUCCUCAGCUAAAAAGACCUCCACAUCUAAGGGAAGGAGGAAGGUCAGGAGCAAAUCUCGUCAUAAGUCUCCUCGCCGUUCCAGAAGCUCCACCAACUCGAGCCCUUCUAAAGACUCUGCUUGCCAGGUAUCUUUAUACUUUUCAUGUUUUAUUGACUCCUCUAAUAUACGUUUUACUUUAUCGAAAGGGCAUUAAAGAGGUUUUUCUUGCAGGAGACUCAGGGUGCAACUUCUCCCAUCCGCGAAACAGAGCCUCUUCCAGGCAAGGAUGAUAGCCCUAUGCCUCCUCCAAUAUCGACUGCCACUGUGCAACAUUCGCCUAAAAUCAAGGGUGGCUCUUCAUCUCAUGUGUCUAGUGAAAAGCUCGACACUUUAUUUGAGGAGGACCCGCUGGCAGCUUUGGAUAGCUUCCUCGAUGGCACCUUGGAAUGGGACUCUCCACCCCGUCAAGCUGAUGCUACUGCUGAGACUGCUCAAUCAAGUGGGGUAGCCAAUUCUCAGCAGAUCGAGGAGAGUAUGGGUCGGCUGAAGGCUAUUGUCUUCGCCAAUGGGUUUCUCGACCAGAUCCAAGCUGAUCCUCAAGCGAGCCAUGCUGCUAAGGAAUUGCUUGUCUUCCUUCUUGGCCAAAAACUCGAUUCUCAACAGGUUGCUGCUUUGGCUAACCUUCAAUCUUUUUUAGUGGAUGCUUCAGCCACCUUUCAUCAAAUCAAGGAUGUUGGUCAAGCUGUCAGCUUUAAGGAGGCAAAAGUCUCUGCUGGUAAAGCUCAAGUUGCAGCAAUGAAAGAGGACUUCAAGAAGUUCACUGCUAGGAAGGUUUUGAUCGCAGAUGAAAUCUCUGAAGUCGACAUCAAACUUGAAGAACUGCAUCGAGAGAUUACCAAACUGGAGAAAAAGCGAGCUGAUUUGGUCGAGGAAGGCCCUGCUGUAAAGGAUCAGUUGGACGUGCUUACUAAAGACUCCAAGGCUCUGAUCAUCUCGACAAAAGAGGUUAUCAAGGAAUUGGAGAUUGAUCAGGCUGUGAAGAAGGGUCUCGAUGCCAAGAUUGCCACCUUUGCUGAUUGUUUGAACUCUUUUAAGACCCUGCUGUAGGACUCUUUUUUGUUUAUUAAUAUGUAAUGAUGGCACUAUUCUAACCAUGGCCUUCGAUGCCAAUUGCGUGUAAUAUUUCGACAAUGGUUUUGGCACCUAAGCCAUAUAAUUUGACGUUUAAUUUGCCAAGUCUUUUCAGUUUCCACUACGCAUUUAUUUUGACGGCUAUUCAUUUAUUGUUGCAUCGCUCAAACUUCCUUGCACCCCCUCACACAGUCGUCGCUUUGUUUCUGGGGAAUGAACCAAUUUAUUGCAAUCUUAUACCACGUUUUCUUGAUUCAAUGCAAGUCUUUGUUCAUUAAAAGCCAAAGCUAUUCACGAUGGUGGUGGUAAUCUGCAUGGCCUGUAACCGUAAGAUGAAGAUUUGGCAACUGAUUGCCACUAAUUAAUGCAUUCCUUGGUUGUUACCCUAUAAAUAGAGCGUUUUUGGUUACUCCUUUUCAGUAACUUCUCCAAACUCUCCCUUGUUUCUUUUCCAGAAUUCUUUUCCUGCUUUCAUAAAUCCCUUCAGCCAUGGCUAGCCGUCGUGUUCUCAACCAGAUCCGGAACUUGGCUUUUGAUCAAGACUUAUUCUGGGAGUUGCACUCUUUCCUCCCUUUGGCUGAAGAGCUUACGGGGCUCAUUAACCAACUUCUUUCGAGGAAUAUUAUUGCCUCGGUAAGAAUUCCUCUUCAGGAGUUCUUGAGCCUCCUGCAUGAAGCUGUACCUCUAUAUGAAGAACACCGGGAGCUUACUGCUCGAGUGUUCUUUGCUGAACACCAGAUUGAUGAGAAGAUGGAGGAGUUUGAGGAGUUGAAGGCUGCUCUUAGCCAGGCGAACCUCGAGGGGAGUGUGGGAGCUCUGAAACCCUUGGUGGACAAGCUUUCUUCUACUGCCCGUGAAGAGCUGGAUAUUCGACAGGAGAAAUCGCGACUGGAAUCCCAACAAGAAGAUGUCUUGAGGCGCAUAGAGCCUCUUAGGGCCAGAUACAAUAGUUGUAGGGCCAACCCUCCUUUUUAAAAUUUCUUUGCCAUAGUUGUAAUGCUCUAUUCUAUUCAAUAAAACAUUCGCAUUUGGCAAUUUAUUCUCUUUUACUUCUUUAUUCGAUGUUUAUCUCAUGCAAUGUUGGCUUAUACGUUUUUAAAUAUUUGCCAUUUAUCGUCAUUUGUCGAUUACCUCCUAAUUCCUUAAUCGAAUAAGCGUUGUUUAAAAGUACUUUCUCGACUGAAAAAGGGCCUUCCCAGUUUGGGGACCAUUUUCCGUAACGUUUAUCUUUUUUAUCAAUUGGUAAGACGACCUUCCAUACGUAAUCACCAAGCAUAAAAGAUUUAGCUCUAACCUUUUUGUUAUAAGCUUUAGCAAUGCGAUCCUUUUGCCUGGUUAAGGUAUCCAACACCAAUAAUCUUUCUUCGUCGAGAUUGACUAAUUCGUCAAGCAUCAUACUCCAAUAAUCUUCACUUGGAAUUUCCUCUUGCCUUUGAAUUCUGCAUGACUGUAAAUAUACUUCUACUGGUAGUACCGCUUCUUGACCAUAUGCUAGUCGAAAAGGCGUUGCUCCGGUAGAUUCCUUAGGUGAAUUCCUGUAAGCCCAAAGCACUUGGCCUAACGUUUGAUGCCAGUUUUUAGGUUUUCGACCAACAUGUUUUUUAAUCAAGGAGAUCAACGUUUUGUUGGCCGCUUCGACUUGACCAUUCGCUUGAGCAUAAUAGGGGGUCGAGGUUAGGAGUUUUAUACCCCAAGAUUCUGCGAAUGAUGCUACCUUUUGGCCUACAAACACUGUGCCUUGGUCUGUAGUCAGUGACUCAGGUAGCCCAAAGCGGUACACUAUGUGAUUCUGAAUGAACUCGAUCACCGUGUCCUGGGUCACAUUUUGUAGAGGAAUUGCCUCUACCCACUUGGUAAAGUAAUCUAUAGCCACUAUGAUGUACUUAUGCUGCCUAGAAGAACAUGGGUUAAUUUCGCCAAUUAGGUCUAAAGCCCAACCCCUGAAUGGCCAAGGCUUAAUGAUCGAGUGUAGUUCACUUGCUGGCACAUGUUGUAUCCCCGCGUGUCUCUGACAAUCUUGGCACCUCUUGGCAUACUCCAUACAAUCUUUCAUAAUAGUAGGCCAAUACAUCCCUUGUCGAAAUAGGAUCCAUUUCAUCUUGAUUCCUGCCUGGUGGGCACCACAUAGCCCGUCGUGAACGGCUGAGAUCGCUAUGAACGCGUCGUCUUCACUUAAACACUUCAGUAGUGUUCCGUCGACGUUUUUCUUGAAUAGCUCGUUUCCCAUGAUGACAUAGCUCAUUGCCCUGUAUUUUGUCUUUCUAUCUGUAGUACCCACAGGAUUUUGCAAGUAAUCGACAAUUGGCUUUCUCCAAUCAUUAGGUGCCAUAUUGUCAAUGACCAGGAUGUCGAGGUUAGAGGGGUUUAGUUUUUCUUUGACCUCGAUAAGCUCUUUUAACCUACAUUUAUCGACCGUAUAUCCUGACGCGAUUUGUGCUAAUUCAUUGGCUUCUUGAUUGUCCACUCUGGAGACGUGACCUAGCCUAGCUUCGUCGAAUUUGGCCAACAAAUUGCUAGCUUUCGUGUAAUACCUAGCUAGAUUUUCACUAAUGCACUUGUAUUCCUUGGUAAGUUGCUUUAUUACCAACUCAGAGUCCCCUUUUACGACGACAUUCUUUGCCCCGAGGGCUAUCAGGAUCUCGAGGCCUGAUGUUAAUGCCUCAUACUCAGCCUCAUUGUUUGAGCAGUUACUCUUAAUCCUAAACUUGAAUUUCGUGGGGAUGCCCCUUGGGGAUACGAUGAACAUCCCGAUCCCAGUGCCAUUUUUAUGGCUAGAACCGUCGAAAAAUAGCUCCCAAGGUUGGAUGCCUACGUAAGUUAUGAUUUCUUGAGGCAAAGUAUGGUCUGCCAGGAAGUCAGCAAUUGCUUGUCCCUUAACCGCCUUCAGUGGGGCAUAAGUUAGUGAAUACUCGGUUAGGGCUAAAGCCCAUUUACCAAUUCGACUAUGCAAGAUAGGUUUGGAUAACAUGUGCUUUAUUAUAUCAUAAUGAGAAAAAACCAUUACAUCGAUUGGCUUUAUAUAAUAUUUCAGCUUUACACAAGAGAAGUACAAGCAUAAACACAAUUUCUCGAUCAUGGUGUAUCGAGUUUCUGCAUCAUUUAACACCCUGCUUAAGUAAAAUAUGGCUCUUUCUUUGCUAUCUUCAUCUUCUUGAGCCAACAUGCUUCCGAUGGUUCCAUCCGUGGCAGAGAUGUACAGCUUCAUUGGCUUUCCUCUUAUAGGUGGUGCCAUUAUAGGUGGGCUAGACAAGUACACUCUGAGUUCAUCGAACGCUUUUUGAUGCUCUGCUUCCCAGCGGAACGCAUCUUCCUUUUUAAGUCGAAGAAGUGGGGAAAAUGACUUGGUCUUCUCACUGAGGUUAGCAAUGAAUCUCCUUAGGAAGUUAAUCUUUCCCAAUAGUGAUUGCAGUUGUUUCUUGCUGGUUGGUGGACUAGUGUCGAGAAUGGCUUUAGCUUUGUUCUUGUUGAUCUCGAUGCCCUUUUUAUGCACCAAAAAACCCAAAAAAUCACCUGCAAUAACACCAAAGGCACAUUUAAGGGGAUUCAUCUUCAAGCCAUAUUUUCUCAUCCUCUCAAAGGAUUUCCUUAGAUGCAACAAAUGGUCAUCCCUUGAUGGGGAUUUCACCACGAUGUCAUCAAUAUAAACCUGCAUGAAGGUUUCUAUAAAAUCAUGAAAAAUGGUAUUGAUUACCCUUUGGUAGGUCGCGCCAGCGUUUUUCAACCCAAAUGGCAUGACCACCCAUUCGUAUGUCCCCAAGGCACUAGGACAUCGAAAAGCUGUUUUCGACACGUCCUCUUCUGCUAUGAAGAUUUGGUUGUAGCCUGAGUAACCAUCCAACAAGCUUAAGUAUUCGUGACCAGCAGCUGAGUCCACCAUCAUCUCAGCAAUGGGCAUGUGAUACUCGUCUUUUGGAGUGGCAGCGUUAAGAUCUCGGAAAUCUAUGCAAACUCUCAUCUUUCCAUUCUUCUUGAUUACUGGAACCACGUUGGCUAACCAGUCCACAUAUCGAGCUGUUCUGAUAAAUUUACACCUGAGGAGUCUUUCAAUUUCUUCCUUGAUUUUCACCAACACAUCUGGAUGGAACCUCCUGGGCAAUUGUUUGACUGGUUUCUUGUCUUCUUUGAUGGGCAACUUCAAUUCCACCACUUCUCGACUGAGGCCAGGCAUUUCAUCGUAAUCCCAAGCAAAACAGUCUUUGAAUUCCUUGAGUAAUUUCACCAUCCUGUCUUUUAGCUCCGGGUCAAUGAGAGCACUGAUGUACGUUGGCCUCUUUUCUAAGCCAUCACCCAGGUUCACUUCUUCUAAAGGGUCUUGCGCUUCCAUUUUCUUGGAAAAAUCGACCACUGGCUUCUCGAAGCCCAAUGCGCCGUCAUCAUAAAUGCAAUCUAGCCUCAGGUUGCAAAGGUCCUCGAAUCCACAUUCCUCGGCACUCCGCUCGUUUUCUUCUAUGCACGUGUCAUCCUUAUUUGUUGUUGCCUCCUCCUGAGGUGUUAAUUCGACGGGCAGGAUUGAGGCAUUGGUUUCGUCAGUAGCCAUUUCUUUGGCUAUUCUUGCGGCCUCUAAGGCCGUCCUUAUUCUUUUUUCGGCUGCGUAAGCCGAAAUUCGAGCUAGGCUCGAGUUAAUCAUCUUUAACCUCAUUUUGCCACUCAGUUGUGGCAUCCUUUUCUUCAUCGCUGUGCCAUCCACUCAUGGCAUCAGGUUUGUAUGCUUCAUUGAGGUUUAGGCCCCAGAUGGGAUCCAGCGUUACUGAGUACUCUGAGUAGGGGUUGAAGUAUUGGCUAGCCACUGUGUCUAAAGGAGCAAUUGUGGCUAAACUCUUCUCGAAAUUCUUCUUACCAACGUAGCUUGUUUCUGCUAAAUAGUAGCUUUGAUCUGCUUGUACAUUUUCGACAACUCCAUCAGCUUUCCAAAUGGAUAUACGUUGGUGUAAGGUCGAAGGCACUGCCCCCACGCCAUGAAUCCAUUCUCUUCCCAGCAGCAAAUUGUAAUUGGCCUUUGAAGGGACCACAAUGAACAAUGUGGAACGGGCUACUGUUCCUACGGUUAUGUUCAACAUAAUUGCCCCUAGGGAAGAACCUGUCUUUCCUUCAUAAUCAGAAAGCACCAUGUCAUGUGAGAUUAGAUCCGCUUCAGUUUUACCUAACUUCUUAAGCAUAAAUCCGGGCAUGAGGUUGAUUGCAGCUCCCCCGUCGACAAGGACUUUGUUAACACCCUUCUCCUCGACUCUGGCCCAAACAAAGAGCGGUUUCAAAUGGCUCUUCAUUUGCUCGGUUGGCCUUUGGAAGAUAGCUCUUUCAUCUUCGACAGAUCCUCUCUGCAUCACAUAAUAACACAAAGGAUUGUCAUCUGGUUCGUCGUCGACAUAGUAGUCUUCCUCGCUUUCAGUGACCUCUGAAAUUCUAUCAAAUUCUGCAGGUAGGAUAGACACGAUGCAGAUGAUGUUAAGCUCUUCUCCAUCACUGUCGUCGAAAUCUUCGAGCAUGUCUUCAUCCUCAUCCUCGACAACAUCCUUCCCUUUUUUCUUAGCUGGAUUUGGUGGUACGGUUGUUCCCUGUUUGAUGGCGUGGUCCAGCUGGUUGAUAAUCGACGCCACACUAGGUUCAUUGCGAGAGUUGUCUUCUGGCUUUAUGUCCCAUAGUGAACGGAACUUGCCACCUCUUUCCCUCUCAGCUUUCCUUUUCCUCAAAAAACGCCUGAACUGAGUCCUGGUCAUUUGUUCAGGAGCAUAGUAGUUCCCAGAGCCAUAGGAGUAGCUUCGUGACACACGGGAAUUGUUGAUGUAAGAGGAUCCCUGGCCUAAGUCGAUUUUCUGCCACUUAGGGUAUGGUUUUGGCCUUGGAGGCGUUGGCCUGAACCAUUGGUUUCUUGGCAAUCCAGCAUUGGGGAGGUAAGUUUUGUCUUUAUUGCUUGCUUUCUGGCCUUUAUGGCCAUCGAGUUCCUGGUCUCUCUCGACCCACUCCUCGUGAGGGUACUUCAAUCUCCUGGAUACAGGAGCCUUUCUCUGAUAAUGCCUUUUCAUUUCUGAAUCUUGAUAGGCCUUGGCUGCGGAUUUGUCGAAAACAGCGCUGCAUCGAGGGCACAGCAUAACUUCUUUCUCGCCAUCUUUGCUGCGGGAUAGAAACUCGACAAGGGUUUCUCCAGCCUUGGGGUAAACCUCUUCCAAGUUCACUUCCUUCACGACGUCUGGUUCUUCGACAGCCGUGUUUUCCUCCUUUGCCUCCUCGAGUGUCAGGCCCAGAUUCAGCUUCUCGGAAAUGUCGACCAUGCCAAUGUAGAAAGGUUCCACGUAGUUGGCUUCAGCUACCUGCAGUGGGUCGGAAUCAAUCUUCAUUUGACUUUUGGUUUUUUCGUCAUACUUGAGCCUUCCUGAGUCCAAUGCCCCCUGCACAAGGUCCCUGAAACGAACACAUUGUGAGGUCCAAUGACCAAAAAAGUUGUGAUAUUUGCAAUAUUUCUUCCCUUUCCUUUGUUCAGGAGAAGGAAGUUUUUGGUCUUUAGGGACCACAAGCAAACCAUCAGACACAAGUAUAUCAUAGAUUGCAUCGCAUUUGGCCACAUCAAAAGUAUAAGUUUUCACAGCAGGAAUCGUGUUCUUGGGGUUUUCCUCCCCAAGUUUGUUUUCACGUGGUUUCAAUGCUUUACAAACAUAAGGAUCCCCUGGCUGAAGUUCAGCCAGAUUGACGUCAUUCAAAUCGACGUCCGCCGGGACUUCUCGAUAGACACAUGGACUCUGACCUACUGAAUCCGCGUCUAUGUACGCUACCUUCUCCUUCUUUGGCCACUUGGUAGUCUUGGCCCUUUCCUCUGACUUUUCGGCCUUUAGCAAUUCGAUGUGCCUCACUCUAUCUGCGAGUAAAGACAUAUCUCGAAUAUACUGAGUGUCGAUUUUCUUUCUAAUGGAAUAUUCUAGACCACCAGCGGCUAAGACAACUAGCUCGUGUUCAGGGACAUGGGUGAAACAUCGGGAUUUAAGCAUCCUAAACCUGUUUAGGUAAUCAUCAAUAGACUCCGCUGGCUUUCUUUUAACACUAGCCAGGUCCUUCAAACUUACUUUGCACUCUCCCCUAAAGAACUGUUCAUGGAAAAUUCUUUCCAACUGGGCCCAUGUAUGGACUGACCUAGGAGCGAGGGUGGUGAACUAGGUAAAUGCAUUUUUGGUUAAAGAACUCGGGAAGUACUUCAUUUUUAAAUUUUCAUUGAUGGCUAAGUCUCCUGCUUCGAUUUGGUACCUGGCUAUGUGUUCUACCGUGGACUCUCCUGAAUCCCCCGAGAACUUAGUGAAUUUGGGGACCUUCCAGCCUCGAGAGAGUUCUGCUUCGAGAACCUCCUCUGUAAAGGCUGACACAAAAUGGGGUCUAUUCGCGAAACCCACGUUGAAACCAUGUUGGUUCAACAAUUGCUCCACCACAGCAGCAACAUUUUGUUGCCCCCCAGCGUUCUGGUGUCGAAUUCUUUCUAGCACACCAUCAGCGUGUUCUUCCCUGUUUACCAUAUACACAUUUUGCAAUGGCGGCUGCACUGCCUCGUACAAAGGGUUUGCCCUCAUCUCUUGGUGUUGCGGCGCCUGAUAGCGCACCGGGGCAGGGAUAUGGUUAGGCAACGGGAUUUGGUUAAUCCCUGGUGCCGGUUGGAUUUCGACUGGUGCCCCCAGGGCUGUCGCCAAACGAUCCAUCUGUCGUUCCAAAUGCUGAUUAUUGGCAUUAUUAUUUUGGAGCACAGGGUUGAUUAGCUCACCUAUCUGUCGAGAUAGCAUAUUAACCAUUUCAUGGUUACUAUCAUCUACUUGCUGCCUAAUGGCUUGAAGUGAACCAUUAUUCAUACCUGUAGAUAAAUAAAUUUGUGAACUAGAUCCAGGAAUAGAAGGGCUAACUCGACUCCCCAAAUUUAGCAUUGUUCCAUUUGCCCCAAAAGGGGGUAUGCCGAAUGGAGGAACAUUUUCAGGGAACGUCGAAUACGUGCCUUGUAUGCCUUGCAUUAUAGACGUAGGCAUACUAUAAGGCAUGUUUUCCCUCGUAACUGUUGGAACAAUUUGUGCCUGUACUGAUGUAGAUACAGGCAUUUCUGCAACUGCAGAAAUUGCUACAUUCUGGGUUGGCAUAGUGGUGCCAUGCCCCAUUCCAGUAGACACUUCUUCAUUAUUGUUACCGCUACUUCCCCCAGGGCUACUCUGAUUACCCACGUUAGAUCCUUGGGGGGAGGUUCUUCCUCGAUUACUUGCCAUACUCAAAGUCUUACCACUUCUCAGGUGCAUAUAAAUCACAAUCAAGGCAAGUAGCAAAUACCAAAUAGCAUGCAGCAAACAAAACACACAAAACGCUUCUGUAAAACUUAGUUUUCACAAAAACGGUCCCACUGGGCGUGCCAAUUUGUUUACACGGAUUUUUGGUAAACAAAUAUCCUCUUAGUUCGACUAAAGGAAGUUUAGAUUCGGGGUCCUUUUGAGAAAACGCUUUGCCAAAGUGUAGUGUGUGAACGAGUGUAUUCUCGACAAUAAUAAACAACUCAAACGAAACUGGACUUUAUUGAGUAUGAGUCGAUUACAAAACAGUCAAGCAAACUUAAAAUAGCAUGAAAGCAAAUUUCGACAAAACAAGUUACACAUAAGAACUGGGAAUUAACAAACUGAAAUACAAGGAAAUUAAAGCGUUGGUUCUGCAACAUACUCCUCCAUCAUCACGUUCUGCUCUCGAAGUCUCAUUGAUGCGGACGUUUGGAGCUUUUGGUGAAUUUUCAGAGUUUUUAGUUGGGAACCCUUUCUUCUGCUGCUGCUUCCUCUAUUUAUACUGUUCUUUCUGCCCAUGUUCUUGGCGGUUUUACUUGGAUGCACGAUGGCUUCGUGGGUUUUGAAUUUUGGCGCCAUACCCCACGUUUAGCCGAUGGUCUUCGCGCACGUGACUCUAUUGCCACGUGGAUGGUUCUGAGUCGCGGGCAACCGUUGCUAUUCGUGGCAUCGUGGGUGUACGCACGUGCUUGUAAUCGCUUGUUAUUCGGUAACUGCCCCUUCCAUUAAGAUGAUCGAGAUUUCUUCAUCUUCUGAGUGUGUCGAGUUAUGGCUUUUACUAACUUGUCUUUGAGGGACAUCGUGUGCUGAGUUGCCGGCUUCGCCCAACCCCUUCUGUCGAGAAACCACUUUUUGCACCAUGGUGUCGAUAAUUGUAAUGCUUGUAAUUUUGGCUUAACACAGCUGCACACAAGAUACUGUGUACUCAAAACCUAAACGUGCUAAAACCUCUACAAUAAUGUUUAGAAUUUCGGAAAAGAUCAAGAAGACUAAUUUUCCUUCAUAUAUAUCAUGUUCUACGAGUUCACCUUCUUAAAAAGUUCACCAAUCCUUUUUACCUUCUACUAACUCUUUUCUUUUCCAUGAAAACCAUAAUAAUACUAAUAUUAAAUGUCAAUUAAAACCGUAACAGAUUUAAUUGCUAUUGGAUUGUACAACCGUGGAAAAAGAUUUAAUGUGAACUGAAGAAUUUAAAACCAAUAUAUGUUUUAAUUGGGUAGGUGGAAAAACCUGUCGAAAAAAAACUGGCAUGCCAUUAAUUCUUACAGUAUGCUCAAAUUACUUGUUUCAAUUUUGUCAUGUUUGUUAUGGAGUGUGAUAGACCGCUUAAAUUGCCGCGAGAGCGGGGAAUGUCCAAACGUAAACAGAGAGAGGUUUUUUUUCAAGGUUUUGUUUGCCACCUGUUGAAAUGACAAAGAGAGCUAAUGAAAAGUUCCAAACAAUAGAAAGUCAAAAAACAAUGAGUGGUGGAGCUAGACGCAAGGUGCACCAAAGAGAAAACCUCGGCAGGACGAAGCUCACAUGACUGAAAAUAGGUGAGACAAUGGGAUAUAAAAAGGGAGAAAUCAUGUAAGUGCAAGAGGCAGAAGAAGAGAAACAAUCUAUCUUCUUCCAAAUAAAAAAUAAAGGAAGGAGAUAGGAAAGGGUUGAAAAGGAUAAAAAAAAAAUUACAUUAGAUACAUUGUUGGCUGAAGGAAAAAAAUUCAAAAAAAUGGCUCGUGGAGCGAUUAUUGCAUCCAUGCUCUGCCUUCUGGCUGUAGCAGUGGUGGCUGAAGACCCUUAUAUCUAUUACACAUGGAAUGUGACCUACGGUACCAUUUCACCUCUUGGAAUCCCCCAACAGGGUAUCCUCAUCAAUGGUUUGUUCCCAGGACCUGAAAUCAACUCCACCAGCAACAACAACAUUGUCAUCAACGUGUUCAACAACCUUGACGAGCCAUUGUUGUUCACAUGGAGCGGUAUCCAGCAGAGGAAAAACUCAUGGCAAGAUGGUACAUUGGGAACUCAGUGCCCCAUCCAGCCAGGAACCAACUACACAUACAAGUUCCAGGUCAAGGACCAGAUCGGUAGCUACUUCUACUACCCCUACACCGGCCUCCAGAGAGCCGCCGGUGGAAUCGGUGGUUUGAGAAUCUACUCCAGGUUGUUGAUCCCUGUCCCAUAUGCUGACCCUGCUGAUGAAUACUGGGUCCUCAUGGGUGACUGGUACGCCAAGCCCCACACCACCCUCCAGAAGUUUUUGGACAGUGGUCGUAGCCUUGGAAGGCCAGAUGGCGUCCACAUCAUGGGUAAAAAUGGUAGCCCAGUCCCACUCUACACCAUGGAGCCUGGAAAGACCUACAAGUACAGGCUCUGCAAUGUGGGUAUGAAGGACUCCCUUAACUUCAGAAUCCAAGGCCACCCAUUGAAGCUUGUUGAGAUGGAAGGCUCCCAUGUGGUGCAAAACGUCUACGACUCCCUCGACAUCCAUGUUGGUCAGUGCUACUCUGUCCUCGUGACUGCCGACCAGGAACCAAAACAAUACAAGAUGGUCGCCUCCACACGCUUCACCAAGAAGGUGUUGUCCGCCACCGCUCUCAUCACCUACUCUAACGGUAACGGUCCCGCCUCCCCUGAGCUCCCACCUGCACCUGAAGGCUGGGCCUGGUCCCUCAACCAGUUCCGUUCCUUCCGUUGGAACUUAACCGCUAGUGCUGCCAGGCCUAACCCUCAAGGCUCUUACCACUACGGCCAGAUCAACAUCACCCGAACCAUCAAGCUCGUGAACACCGUCUCUAGGGCUAACGGAAAACUCCGAUACGGAAUCAACGGUGUGUCCCACGUUGACAACGAAACCCCACUCAAGCUCGCCGAGUACUUCGGUGUUGCUGACAAGGUUUUCAAGUACAACAUCAUCUCCGAUGAGCCCCCGGCAACCAUCGGUGACCUCACCUUGGCUCCCAAUGUCAUUAACGCCACUUUCCGUACCUUCAUCGAGAUCAUCUUCGAGAACCCCACAAAGGUUGUUCAGUCAUACAACUUGGAUGGUUACUCCUUCUUCCUUGCCGCAGUUGAGCCAGGGAAAUGGACACCCGAGAAGAGGAAGAACUACAACCUUUUAGAUACAGUGAGCAGGCACACCGUUCAGAUAUACCCCAAGUCAUGGGCAGCAAUCAUGCUUACAUUCGACAACGCUGGCAUGUGGAACUUGAGGUCAGAGCACACCGAGAACCGCUACCUUGGUCAACAAUUGUACAUCAGUGUCUUGUCUCCUGAACGCUCUCUCAGGGAUGAGUACAACAUUCCAGAAACCCAGCUCCUUUGCGGCAUCGUCAAGGAUAUGCCCAAGCCCGCACCCUACUCUUAAGCAUUUAUCAACCUGCAUUAAGACGAUGUAUUAGCUUUAUUUUGUAGCUGAUGUAUCCACCGACCCUUUCCUGAAUGCCACAAAUUUUCAGCUCCAUAUGUAUACACAUAUAUAAUAUGAAUGUCAAAUUCUCCUUCCAAUCCACUUCUAUGUGGGUUUUGUCAUGGAAUAUGUACACACAUCAGUUCUUUCAUUAAUUUCAAGUGACGGAAAUUAAACUUUACUCAAGCUAGAGCUACUACGACCUGAGCUCACACCAUAAGCAGAAGGAUAUAUAAUUGAACUAACCAAAAGAACUAAAUAUUAAGAAGAAAUUAUUAGUCUGUUUGUGCUGGUUUGGGUGGGUUGUGCCCAGAGGCGGACCCAGAAAUUUUGUGACACCUGGGCAAAAUUUUCACAUCGUCUUGAAUAUUUGGAGGAUACUCAUUAAUUUGUUUCCUACGCCCUGGAUCACGCACAAUCUCAUUCGGAUGAAACUCAUUGACCACAUUAGGCGAUGGUUCUACUUCGGCUUCCGGUUGUACAACAUUCACAUUCUCAAUACUUGCUCUAGGAACCAAGAACUUCCUCAUCUCUAAAAUUUAAUGAUCUAAAGAAACAACAAAGAAAAGCACAAUUAGAAAUUAUGAUCAAAUUAAAAAAGCACUAAAAACAACACUAAUAAAUAAAAAUGAAAAGGAGACAAUCUAUAUUCACAUGAUUAGUAUAUUGGAUGUACAAAAAAUGGAAGAGAAGAGAUCAUGGACCACAAGCAAUUACCAAAUUUUGGACCACAAGCAAUUACUAAAUUGAAUUGAAUACAUUACACAUUAUACAAUAUACAUGGCAAAUGGCAAUUGUUGGCAAGUGGCAAACCGCAUCUCAUGACUCAUGUAAUCUGUCUCUCACACUUUUCUAACUUAUCCUUCACACACUCACAUAGUCACACAUGACACAUACAAUUAAUAUUUGAUUCAAGAAUACCAAACCCAACUCACUCACGCAUCUCUCACUCUCUGUCUCACUUUUCCCUUUUUUUUUUACCUUUUCUGCCUUAACCUUUCUCUCAGUCUCUCACUCAGUCUCUCUCACCGCUCACCUCCUCUCCUCUGUUCCUCUCGACAACGCCCACGCCACGCCUCACCCACACGACACGCAGGCCGCAACCGCGCCCUCACCCACACCGGCACACGCAGGCCGCAGCCACGCCCACGCCCUCACCACCCACCGCCUCAGGCGGCCCUCACCCACGCCCUCACACCACAGCCCACAGGUCUCACUCACGGCACACCCCCUCACAGAGUCACAAUAGGAUAUUGAGAUUUACAGAGCAAAUAAGUUUGAAGCUAGGAUGGAGAAAUCAGAGAGAAAGAGACCUGAUUCCUGAAGAUUGAAGCUUGAAGAGUAAGAGUACUCAGAGAGAAAUGAAGAUUGCUGAAGAUUGAAGGGAAGCCUGAAGAUUGAAGCCUGAAGAUUGAAGUCAAUUGAAGUCUGAGAAGGAAAUUGAAGCGUGAUUUGAAGCCUGAAGGGAGAAAGUGAGUAGGAAAUUGAGAAUAGGGUUUCUAUUUUAUUAUUUUCCCCUUUCUUUUCCCCUUUAUAAAAUAGUCCUCAAUUUUACCCCAACCUUUAAAUUUUGCCCUUUUUUAUUUUUUUUUUGAGGCCCAAAAGAUGAUGUGGUCCAAAGAAAAAAAUUUUUUUUUGGUCAGAGCUUGGGCAUUUGCCCUAGGUAGCCAGGCGCUCAAUCCGCCUCUGGUUGUGCCUAUAUACUAGCUAAUAUCGGCAUUUGUUUCGUUUUUUAUUUGUAUUUUCCCUUUGCUAAAUUUUGUACUUUGUUCGUGGGUUUGAAGUACCCUUUUACUUCCUUUAAUAAAAUGUUUCUAUAAAAAAAAAAAAGAAUAAUAGAGCGAUCAAAUGGAAAUGUAUAUGCUUAAUACGGAUUCAAAAUUCUAAACAUUCGUUCGUGGUGUAUAAAAUGCACUGUUUAUAAGUUAUUUUACAAUGAUGAGCCAUUAAAUUGUUUUCUAAUUUUUUCCCGAGUAAUGAUAUAUACACACCUCCUUAUUUAUACACUUCAUUUCCACCUAUUUUUAUUUCUAUCUCUCUCCUCUUAUCAUCUAUCAUAUCUUAUACUUUCUCUUUCUUACUUUUUAUUUUCUUCCUAUCUCUCUCCUCCUCCACCUCUUUCCACCUCAAUUUAGAGGUGUGGACAAAUAAUUAUUGAUUUUUUCCCUAUUGUGUUGUUUGGAUAUAUACAAUUGCAUACGUGUCAUGUGUACUUGUCAUUUUAUAGAUUUAAAUAUGUUUUUAUCAUGACUUAUAUACACUUAUAAUAUAAUACUAGUGUUUUUUUCCCGUGCGUUGCACGGAAAAUAUAUCUAUUGUUUUUUAUACAUCAAUUAAUCAUGAAUGUGAUUAUGCGAGUUCAUUUUCAGUUUUUUUUAAUUCUAAGUUAUUUAUGUUUUAAUUUUUUUAAAGUUGUUCUCAAUAUGUGUUCAGGGAACACGUGUCUACAAUAUCUUAGAUAAUUAGGGACAACCCUUUAAAAUUUAAUGGAUUAUAAUCUCAGCACUACAUAUUUUAUUUUCAAUCAUAUUGUAGAUCAUGAGAAAGAAUAAAAGGAGAAAUCAAAGGAUUCCUGUAAAUAUGCAGUAAAUUAGACUUGAGACUUUUCCAAAUUUAAAGAGAUAAUGAAAAUGGUUUCAAGAUUUGUUUUGGAAAUAAAUUUAGUAAGGAGUAAUCUAGGUUAUUCUUAGAUAAUUAGGGCAAAUCUUUAAAAAUUCGGUUUUAAGAUAAAAUAACACAACAGAAGAGAAACUAUCUAAUGGAAUGACACGUGAAUAUUUUUUUUAUGGGAAUUAACCUGAGAAUGACAAGUGAAUUUUUUUUUAUGAGAAUUAACAUGAGAAUGACAUGUCACUAAAUCAGCCUGAUAUAAGUUAUUCUUUUCUAUUGUAUAUAUAUUGGUUGAUGGUAUUCGAAAGAAAAAUCCUCUUUUUUCCCCUAAAUAAUUUUGUUUUAUUUAAAAUGGUUCCUCUAAUGUCAUAAUGCGAACAAAGGUUAUAGGAAAUUAAAGUUUGUGUGGGGAUAGACUGUAAGGAGCUUGUUUCUCUUGCGAUUGAUACUAACAGAGACAGAAUCCGAGUCCAUCCUCAAGCCUCCAUUAUCCGUGAUAUUAAGAUUCUCCUGGAUUUGGAUUGGCGGGUUGAGCUUUCCUGGAUUCCCAAUGAAGCCAAUGUUGCGGCUGAUUGCUUGACCUAACAGGGCGCUCAUUCAUCCCUUCCUGGGUUGCAUAUGGUGACUAAUGUUGCUCCUGAGUUAGACUGGUUGAUCCUUAAGGAUGCCUUAGUUGUUCCUUAGUUUGUUGUUGCUCUGUUGUCAUUUUUCCGAAGCACCAAAAAAAUAAUAAUGCUUAUUUGUCAUUUUUUAGUUGGGAUAAAUAUGUAUUUGGUUCUUAAACUAUAGCGAAUUAUUAUUAUUAGUCCCUGAAUUAAUUUUUCAUUGAAAUCCAUCCCUUAACUUGUUGGCGUGUGAGGUUUUGGUCCCUCGAGUCAUUUGAAUGAUUACGUAGCAUAGUGACGUGUAUGUAUUUUAUGAUGUGUUAUUUUUAGUCUAAAAUUUCAGUUCAAAUAUUUUGUGUGCUUUCUCCUUUGUGACAAUUUUAAGCACUUAAAAAUCAAGUCUUUAACCAUAAAAUUUUCCAUCUAUUUUCUCAACUUCUCUCCAAAUUUUCUUUUUAAGACUUUAUCACUAAUUGCAUAUUCAAUUAAACAUCAUUUUUAAGACAAGUUUUAGAAUAAAAAUAUUCUCCUUUUCCAUGCAUAGUCUCGCUCAUACAUUCCUAACUAUCAUGAUUGAUUAUCUUUAAAAUCAACUAACAGAAGGUAAAUCUAUGAUGAAAAAUAAUUCAAAGUUUAAAAACAAGACUUUAAUCAUUAAGAAAUUUCACAAGACUUAAACUUUAAGGAAUCAAAUUAGAGGUCUAGUAUGCUUUUGCAAAAUCGAAUAAGAAACCUCACUCUAUAUUGGAAUAGGCUUUUGCAAAAUCCAGUUUAACAAAAUGCCACCUUCAUCCAUUUUCUUCAACAAAUCAACUAUUUCAUUUGCUUUAUACAAUGCAAUUAGCUAUUUGCCUCUUUCUUUUUAUCUUGUUAUUGCUUCUUUUUGUUUCUUUAUGCUUUUGUGAGAUACUAUAUUCUUGACUCAUAGUUUUUUUUUUUUUUUUUGAAAUAAGAAUGAACUUUCAAUAAUACGGGAAAUCAGAACAAGCUACAUCCAUGAUGUUUGGAGGGACAUACCCCAUCGAAAUUGAAUCAGAAGAAGAACAAGCUAUAUUAGCAAGAAAAUGAGCAAGGUUAUUCUGUGUUCUAAAAACAUGAGAAACAGAAAAAAAACUCAAAACCAGAAACUAAGCUACAGCAAUCAUCAAUGAUAAGUUGGAGAUCUGGGGAAAGCUGUCCAGCCCGAAAACCACGCGCAACAACAAGGGAAUCUGUCUCAGCCAGAACUCUGGUAAAACCAUGAUGCACCAUGAGUGUGAAUGCCCACCUCAAAGCCAAGGCUUCAGCCAUAGAAAUACUUACCUCAACCUUACAUCUACUGCAAGCAGCCAUAACCACCAAACCAGUAUGAUCCCUAAGGACACACCCCAUACCGAGCCACCCUUCCUUGAUGCUGGCAUCAACAUUUAAUUUGAGUUUCCCUACAUCUGGAGGCUGCCAUCUUCUCAACUCUUUGGGUUUCUUCUGCCUUAUGUGCCCCUCAUUCCUUGAAAUGAACUCUCUAUCAAAAAGAGAAGCAACCUGAAAAGCUCUUACAGGAUCAGCAACCUUUCCUGAAAAACAUAAGUCAUUCCGAGCCUUCCAAAUGGACCAUAACACAUGACAAAUCAAGGACAAGUGGUCACAAUCAUUCAACCCCAACAGAUUUUGAAACCAAGAAACCACCUCAGCCGAAUUGAGAACACAGUGGGAUAAACCCGACCCAAACCAUACAGCCCUGGAAAAUUCACACUCAAGAAACAAAUGAUGCAAUGACUCAGAAGCACCACAACAAAGGGGACAAACAAUAUCCAGAGCAAUACCUUUUUUCACAAGAUUUUCCCUAGUAGGCAAAAUCCUAUUCAUCAAUUUCCAGAGAAAAAUUCUGAUUUUAUGAGGAACAUCAACCUUCCACAAAUCAUUCCAAGUUGAACAAGGAAGAAAAGAACUAGAAGCACCAGGGCCAGAACUUGAACAUGAACUGAGCAUUUGAUAGGCAGAUUUAACAGUGUAAUUCCCAUCAUUGGACCAAUGCCAAGCAAACUUGUCUUCAGGGAGCCUAAUCGAAAGAGGAAUUGAUAGAAUCUUAUCAGCCUCAAAACCCAUAAAGGAGGACUUAAUUAAGUCCUCAUUCCACCUUUUCUGCUCAAAAUCGAUAAGCAUACUGACCUUAGCAUCCUUAGGCAGAUCAAUUGCAGGACUCCAGACCUUAAACCCUGACUGAUUAGGCAACCAACCAUCCUGGAAAACUCUGACAGAUUUACCAUUCCCAAUAGUCCACCUAGAGCCUUUAGAAAUCACAUGCCUCGCAGCUAGAAUACUCCUCCAAGAAAAACUAGGAAGAUACCCCAACUUAGCAUCCAUAAAAGAAGUCCUUGGGUGGUAUCUACUCUUAAAAAUCUGAGCAACCAAAGAAUCAGCCCUGUUAAUCAGCCUCCAACAUUGCUUACCGAGUAUUGCAUCAUUAAAUUUUCUAAGGCACCUAAACCCCAAACCUCCAACAGCCUUUGAUCUCUUAAGCCUUUCCCAACUCAUCCAAUGAAUUCCUUUAUCCUUAGAAUUAUUUCCCCACCAAAACCUAGCCAUCAUACUCUCCAUAGCUGAAACACACCCUUCAGGAAGCUUAAAACAGCUCAUCACAUAGGUGGGAAUCGCUUGCGCAACAGACUUCAAUAAAACCUCCUUGCCCGCACUUGAUAAAUGCCUCUCCUUCCACCCCUUUAACCUCUUCCAUAUCCUAUCCUAGACUAGAGAGAACACCACUUUCUUUGAUCUCCCAAAAACAGUGGGAAGACCAAGAUAUCUAGAAUGAGAUUGAACAGUCUUGACACCCAUCCUUUGCUGGAUUGCAUUUCUAACAUCUACCGGCACAUUAUGACUGAAAGAAAUCUCAGAUUUAUCUAGAUUCACCAACUGUCCCGAUGCUCUCUGAUAAUCAUCAAGGAUGCUCAAAACAGAAUCAGCCUCUUUGAGAGAAGCACGAGCAAAAAGCAGACUGUCAUCAGCAAAUAGGAGGUGUGAAAUCACCGGGGCACCUCUUGCAAUCCUCAAUCCAUGAAUCUGCUGGUCUCUCAUCCUGGAAUUGAUUAAACAAGACAAGGCAUUAUCACAUUGGAUAAAGAGAUAGGGGAAAUCGGAUCCCCUUGUCUCAACCCUCUAGAGGGAACAAUUUUGCUGCUUGGAAAACCAUUGAACAGAAUUUGAUAAGACACCGAGGAUACACAAUCUAUGACCAGCUUAGUAAACCUGCUAGGGAACCCCAUAUGGACCAAAACACCCUUGAGAAAGCUCCACUCCAUCCUAUCAUAUGCCUUUGCCAUGUCGAGCUUCAAAGCCAUCAUUCCUUUUUUCCCUUUUUUCUUCUUCUUCUGUAAGAUCAAGUUUUGAUCUAGUAGUACAACUCUAUGUUUUGAUGAUUACAAGUUAACCUUUUGAUAUGAAUAAUUAUGGUACUCUAACGUGUUUUUCUGAGUGUGCUAUUUACAGGCUCUGACCUUGAUUCAGUCUCACAUAAAUCAGAAGCACUGUGCAUAAAGAGUGACCCAAGCAACGCUUUCGCAACAUCUAUGUUCACUCUGAACAGUAGAAAUGCUUCAGAAGAUCUGAAGUUAUACAAACUCUGAUAUGGACUCAGCCACCAGAAGUUCUGAAGAUCCAGAAGUUCUGACAACCAAGAAACUCUGAAGGUUCAGAUGUUCUGAUGGUGUAGAAGACUCUGAAGAUUCAGAAGCUGAACAGUGGAAACUCUGAUGUCCAGAAGCAAGAAACUCUAAAGACCAUGUACUUCCCUCUGAGUCCAGAAUCAGAAGAUACAACGGUCAGAGGAUCUGUGCUUUCCCUCUGACUCUGAUCAACCGGCUUCACAAGUUCCAACAUGAAGCAUUCCCCUGAUCAGAAGUCUCCUAGGUUUAAAGGUCAAGUCGCUAUCCAAGUACAAAAGCAAAUUGUACUAUCCUGACGACCUACCUAACAUCCUCAGCCACAGCAGAAGCUGGAAUUUCCAGAACUUCCCUCCAACGGUAGCAUUUCCAUGCAACGUUCAACCCUAAUCCUUGGAGUAUAAAUAGAGGCUGAAGAUUGAAAGAAGCGGCUAGAAGCAUUCAUACACGCGCAAGAAAUAUUCAAAUCCUUCUAAGCUUUCUUUCAUCUUGAAUUUCAUUGUGUUUACUAUAAGCUUUUUAGAAGCACCUUCUUUGUAGACAAGAACUUCAUAUACAGUUGUAUAGUUUGCCUUUAGGAGAUCAAGGUUGAUCGGAUCCUUGAGAAGACUAAGAGAGUGAAUCUUAGUGUGAGCUAAGUCAGUGUAUUGUUAGUCACUUGUAGGUUUCAAGUGCAGUUGUAACACAUACCUGAUUAGUGGAUUGCCUUCAUUCUAAGAAGGAAGAAAUCACCUUAACGGGUGGACUGGAUUAGCUUGAGUGAUUUAUCAAGUGAACCAGGAUAAAAUCCUUGUGUGCUUUUCUAUCUCUUAUCUUUAGCACAUAGUUUGUUUCGAAAGAUUUGCCAAAAUCUUUAAGGUGGAAGUUUUAUCUUGAAAACGUUAUUCAAACCCCCCCCCCCUUCUACCGUUUUUCAUACCUUCAUCUUCAACCAAUGGAAACACUCAAGGGUAAUCAAAGCAUUAUCGGUAAUGAGCCUACCCGGAAUAAAUGCACUUUGAGCUGGAUCAAUAAUCUUCGGCAACACCCCUUUGAUCCUAUUAGCCAUUGCUUUAGUGACUAUCUUCAUAACAACGUUGCACAAACUAAUGGGCCUAAACUCCUUCGGGAUGGAUGGCUUCUUACACUUAGGAAUAAGGGUAAUGAAAGUGGAAUUAAUACUUUCCGGACUCAAACCCUCAUUCAGAACAGCCAACACAUGCUUAACAACCGACGCACCAACAAUGUGCCAAUACUCUUGGAAGAACUUUGCUGGGAGACCAUCAGGCCCAGGGGCCUUGAGAGGAUGCAUUUGGAAUAUGGCCUUAACAACUUCAUCCUCCUGAAAAUCACUAUCAAUCAAAUCCACAUCCUGCUGCUCCAACUUGGUGUCAAUGGCCCUGCAAAUGUCAGGGGGUUCCUCCACCAUUUGGGAAGUGAAAAUAGAUGAGAAAUAACUGUUCAGAAUAGCAGAAACGUUCUCAGGCUUGUUGUACCACACACCAUCCUCUCCUUUCAGCUUUUUAAUGCUAUUCACCGCCUGCCUUUGAUUUGCUUUAGCAUGAAAAAACCCAGUAUUCCUGUCCCCAUCUUUUAACCACAUAGCUCUGCUCCGUUGCCUCCACAUAGUCUCUUCAAGCUGCAAAAGCAGCGAGUGUUCUUCUACCAUCUCCUUAAAUUUCGCCAGAUUUUCAGGUUUAUCAUCCCAAGAAGCAUCCUUCUGCAACUCACCCUCUAGAAAAAUGAUUCUCUUUCUGAAAUUUCCCACAGUGUAACCUCGAAAGGUAUUCUUAAGACCUUGAAUACUACCAAGCUUCUUAACAAAAUCAUCUCUUUGCCCAAUCCAAGCAUGGAAGAUCUCCUCCUCGCACCUUGGAUCCAAACACCACACCUCUUCAAACCUAAAAGGACGUUGUUGUCUUCUCAUAGGGACAUCCAUAAACUUCUCAAUGGAGACAGAAAUAACUGCAUGAUCUGAACCAUAUCUUCCCAAGUGCUGCACAGAACUAGCAGGAAAAAUCUGAGAAAAUACCUCAGUACAUAAAGCUCUGUCCAGCCUAGCCUGAAUAUUUGCAUCACCUGAUAUGCCAUUAGUCCACGUGAGAGGAUAGCCACUAAAGCCCAAAUCAACUAGCCCAAGAUCAUCCAUAACAUCCCUUCCCCUCUGCAACUGAGAAUCAGACCGCGAAAUACCACCUUUCUUCUCAUUGUUCGAGAUAACAUCAUUCAAGUCCCCAACCCCAAGCCACCUCAACCCCCCCCCCUCCUGAACUAGAGACCUGAUUAGAGACCAAGUCCUCUCCCUCAGCCUCGUACACGGGUAGCCAUAAAUCCCAGAAAAACACCAAGGGUCUUCAUCCUCAACUACAGAAACAGAGAUAUGAUUGUUUGAAAAAGAAAUGAGAGAAACAUUCAAAGAUUCAGACCACCACAAAGCUAGCCCCCAUUUUCUCCCCUUGCCAUUAUCAACACAAUCCACAACCAAAAAAUUCUUAAGACCAAAGUCCAACCUUAUUUUUUCAAUUUCAAACUUUUUCAACCUGGUUUCCAUCAAGAAAACCAAUUGAGGAAUCUCUUUUCUUACGAGCCUUUGCAAGGCCCUAACUUCCUGGGGACUCCCCAAACCCCGGCGGUUCCAGCUAAGGAGUUUCAUGGCUGUAGGCAAUGUUGGUCUCCCAACAUCGCCUCUAAAUGAGCAUCAGCCAUAUCCACAUCCAUCAUCAAUUUCUUGCUUAAGUGACCCCGAAAAGUCUCAUCAUCCACUUCCACAAUAUCCACAUCAAUCAGGCUUCUCUUCUUAUCUAAACAAGAGAGGACUUUGCAAUUGUCACAGCAGCCCUACUAGCAUCAAGUCUCUUCCAACCUCUCUCGGUAGUCACCUUCUUUUCACUAGAGCUCCCAACACAAAAAGAUAGCUCAGCCACAGGAGCACAAUUUUCCUUAACCUCAGAAUCUGAGCCCUGCUUUAGAACAACAUUACCAAGUGCCUCAAGCACAUCAUCCACUUGUUGGACCACCAUACCACACUCAACAGCAGAAUUUUCAGGGGAAACAUUUGUGAUAUCAGAUAGAACAUGACUAGACAUCCCACCCACAAGAAACUCCUUAGCAGGCCCAACAGAAACAACACUUGGGGCCUUAGCAUCAGCAGCAAGUUCACCUAUACUUCUUUCAGAAACAGGAACCACAGUAGAGUUCUCAAGAUCAGCAAAAGGAACUCUAUCAGCAGACACACCAGAAUUCUUAGUAUCUGAAGACACCUUAUCAACCAACAAGCACAAAUCAUUUUUCCUUUGAACAUCCUUAUGCCUGGUUACCACCUUGGAACCACCACAGCCAAACCUAACCACACCAACAUCAUCAGAACGACCCACGGAUCCCUCACCAGCCCUCCCCACACCAUCAAUAGCAGAACGAAAUAGGGACUCACAACCUUUAGACUUCAUAGGAUGAGCAACAUCCUCACCAAAAGGGGAAGCCCUCAACCAUGGCCCAAAAGGAAAGUCCACAGCAUCAUGAUCCUCCUCAACAUCCUCAAAUUCAUUACAAUCCUUGAUCUGAUGGCCUAUUCUUCCGCAAGCAAAGCAAAAAUUAGGAAGCCUCUCAUAUCUGAAAUAAACCUUAAGCUCCUUCCCUUGCCAAAACAACAUCGUACCCCUGAGAAGAGGCUUGGUAAGAUCAAUGGUAACCUUAAUCCUGAAGAAGAGGCCCAAACGGUUCUCAAGCUUACAAUCAACCUCCACAAAGCUACCAAUUGAAUCCCCCAACCUCCUGGCAACUGCUUCAGACUUCAAUUUCAGAGGGAGAUCAUAAACCCUCACCCACAUAUCCACAGAGGAGAGCUCAAUUUUAGAUGGCUGAUCUUCAUCACUGAAUUUCUUAAGCACCAAUAUACUACGAUCGAAACUCCAUGGACCCCCUUGGAUCACAGAUAUGAGAUCCUUUGAUGUAGCAAAUUGAAACAAGUACCGAUUCUUGGAGAUCUCAUUGAUUUCGACUGGAUGUCGCCACGCCGCCUUCAUAGUGUUCAUGAACGCCCUAACAUUGUGCGAACCUUCAGACCACAACUUCCCAGCCAGCAACCGAGAGGUAAGAUCAUCAUCUCUACACUCAUCCUCAUCGAUUGUAACACUGCUCUGGAUCUCAGAAGCAUUGAGAUCGAAAUUCCGAUGCAUCGUAGAACACAGGGAAACAAGGAGAAAACUACGAAGAGAGAAAAAACAGGAAAGAGACAGAGAAUCAAGGAGCGAACCAGAGAAUCAGAGAGCAAGAUGAAGAAGAAGAGCCUAGGGAGACCUAGGAGAAGACCACCAAGUCGGUGGAGAUCUUGACUCAUAGUUUGGUCUAGCCCUUACUGUAAUAUAAUUCUCUUUUAAUAUAGAGUUUGGGCUAGCUCUUUUAAUAUAAUUCUCUUUUUGGUUUUCCGAAAAAAAAAAGUGAAGGUAAAUUGGCCUCCAGAACCUUUAAGAUAAGCUUCUAUUCACUCCCAAUCAAACUGAUGGGCCUGAAGUCAAGCAUAGAUUGUGGAUAUUACGUUUCAGGAUUGCAGAGAUGAAAGGAGCAUUUAAAACCCUUACAAUUUUCCAAGACUCAUGGAAUUCAUGGAAGAAUUUGACCUCAUUAUUGAGAUUGAGAUUGAAUUUGUCCGGGCCGAAGCUUGAUUUCCAUCACGAUUUUUAUCACUCCCCAAAGUUUCAAAUUCUGAAAAGUUUGCUUCUAAACGAGCCUUAUCCCUGUGACUUAUCUUUGAAAGUUUGAGCAUCUGAGCUUGCAAUUGGGUCGCACCUUAUUUUCCCUUGAAAAAAAGGUUCUAAAUGAUUGAAAAUGGCCACCUCUGUUCAAAAAAAAGAAAAUGGCCACCUUAAUCGAUGUUGGAUCCUCAAUGUAUACCUCACCUACGUUCAAUUUCACUAUUCUUUUCUUUGCUUUCCUUCCUUCAACUAGCGUAUCCUAGCUUUUUGCCUCCACUUUUCAAAUCGUCACAACUCAACGACAUAAUUUAUCUGUCGCAACAUUCGGAACAGACUAUUACAUUUUUAUUUACGUCGUAUCAAAUAUUAUUAUUUCUGUAACCAACGGCGUCGCAAAAUUCAGGACGAAGCAUGAUAGUUUUAAUUCCGUCAUAACAAAAAAACAUUAUUUCUGUCAUCCAAUCGGUCGUAAAAAAAAUUUCUUCAAAAAUAUAAGUAUAUUCCGUCCCAAAAAAUUGAUUUCUUCCAUCGCACAUUAAUUAUUAAUUAAAUGAAUACUAUAAUUCAAUAUAUUAUGUCCUUAUUUCUGUCCCAAAAGCGCGACGAAGAAACAUUCUGUUCUAAAAACUUUGCGACGCACAAAAUCGCGAUGAAAUGUUUCAGUCGCACAUCCGUCCCAAAAUCAUUUAAGAAUAGAAAUUUUAACAAUCGUGUGACGAGGGCGGCGAUGUUCAACUUGAUUCCAGAGGAUUGGGGUGGUCACGUCACGCCUUGGGUCUCAGAGAUCAAACAGUACUUCAAUCGCCUCAAGAGUCUCCACUUUCGCCGAAUGAUUGUCACCAACUCCAGCAAGGAAACUCAUCCUUUUGGUACGAGAACUGGUUGGAAACUGGGGUCCUUUGUUCAUAAGUGCCUUUUGUGCACAUAAGUGACACAGCGUUGGCAGUUCGCGAUGUGUGAAAGACAAUGGCUGGAAGUUUGACUGUUUGUACACGGUGCUUCCAUCAGAGCUGAAGAAUAGGGUUCAAUCAACUGUAGGGCCAACGGGCGUGGAGCAUGUAGAUGCUUGGCGUUGGAAUGAGGAGCCUGAUGGUCAUUACACGUCCAGAUCCGCCUAUGCUUGGCUCAACCAUCGGGACAAUGAGGAGGGUGAACACCAGGUUUGGAUGCAACUGUUGAAAUUGAGGAUUCCGGGAAAAUGCAAAUUUAUGAUUUGGCUUGCGCUGCACCAAUCUUUGCCUGUGAAUGUGCACUGGCAUGCUUGCUCUCUUGCCACCAGCGCUGCGUGUGGUAGAUGCUCUACCCCAACGGAGGACAUUCUUCACUGUCUUCGUGAUUGUCCACACUCGAUGGAAGUUUGGACCAGGUUAGGCUAUGGAACCUUUGUGGGCUUCUUCUCACAAGACUCUUGGUCAUGGAUCCUGGCUAUUUUACGACAAGAAGAUACAGGGCGAAUUUUGUAUAUUUGAUGGUGGAUAUGGCGUUGGAGGAACAAUAUGGUGCUAGGGACAGAGAGAUGGGAAAUUGAAUAGGUGAUUUGCAAUGUGUGGCAGGACUCGAAAGACUCUAUGCUUGACACUGUCGUGGUGCACCAGUUCAGCACAAACAAAUCUUCUUGGGAGGCUCCUGAAAUAGGUUAGGUGAAGGUAAACGUUGAUGGUAGCCACCAUCGAGCAUCCUCUGGAAUAGCCUGCGGUGGUUUGAUUCAGGAUCACCAUGGAAAAUGGCUUCAAGGUUUUUCUGGUUUUGAAGGCCAGGGGGACGUGUACAUGGCAGAGCUUCUCGGAGUUCUCAGAGGCCUUCAGCUAGCGUGGCAUCAUGGUUACAGGAAGGUAGUUUGUGAAUCAGAUUCUUUGAGUGUGGUGCAAACCUUGUCGACAGGCAAAUCAGUAAACCUCCAUUCUUGUGCGGUGCUCUUGACAGAAAUUCAUUGUAUGCUUCUGGAGGAUUGGGAGGUGAUUUUCAAGCAUGUCUUGCGGGAUAAAAACAACGAAGCUGACACUCUAGAAAAGCUUGGCUUAGAGAAGAAGUGGAGGCUCACAACCUGGAAUUCCCCUCCCACUGAGCAUGUUCAGUUGGGAGGUCUAGUCUAAUUGUUUUUUCUUUUGUCUUUAUUUUCAUAAUCUACAAAAAAAAAAAACAUCAUAAUGUGAAUAUUUCCGCUCCUAUGAAUAAUGGAGUAUUAAUGGCACAAGUAACUUACUCGAAUUUUUGUAAUUUAGUUACUCUAAUAUGAAUGAUACAAAUGGUGGAUUUAUUUAUUUCCACUCUUCCCGCUUACCUCUAUAUCACUUUUGGUUCUUGCUUAAUGUUUCCACCGUUUCUACGGUAAACCUUUUAUGGAUUUAACAUUUGCUUUAUUGGUUAAUUUGUCCUUUUAAUGCAUUGAACAUUGGCUUUAUGGUUUGUAUCUGAAAGACUGAAACACAUUGAAAACCAAAAGGUUCCUUCUUUUGAAAUGGUUGCAUCUUUUAUAAAAGGAUAUCCAUGUUGAGUCGGAGAAGAUUUUGGAUUUUUCCAAUUAAGCAAGAUUUCAACAUGUAUAAAUUCUGAGUGUACAAUAUCUUGUAUGUGGCUAUGUUAUUGGAGAACAAACCUAACAUUAGAUUGCACUGGAGGUUUACCAUACUUUUACUUUCAAAAUAGUGAUUCGUCCACGGCGCAACUUUCCUCUUAUCUUCCAACAGAUGACACAUGUAAGAAUUGAAAUAGAACGCAAUUGUUUUUUCAAUCAAUUUUUUUUAUUGUUAUAGUUUUAAUAGAGCACAUGAAUAAAUUUAAAAUUUGACGAUUUAAUAAUAUCUAAUUAAUAUAUGUAAAUUCUGUGGCAUAGGUUAAUUUACUAGUUUUUAAAUAUAAGAAAGUAAUACACAAUUACAAGUGGCAUAGAUUUAAGAAAGUUCCAAUACCAUUUGAGGAGUUAAAUAAUUACGUUGAUGAAAAAAACAUAUACAAACUUAUUGUAGAUGGAUGGUUAGGCACUUGAUAAUCUCCUCUGGUUAGUUUUGUUCAAAAUAUAAGCAUUCUAACAAUAGCCAACGGGAAUGAGUUUCACAAGGAAAACGGGAAGAUGUAAGAGGAAGUACGCAUUCCAAGGAGCACCAGGAAAGGGAAGUGAGAGAUGAUAGCGGAGAGUUUGAGUGGUCAAGAGAUAGCAAUCCAAAUAUAUAUAAUAUGGUAAGAGGAUACGGAUGGUGUAAUGCUCUCUUCACACUAUAAAAUAGCAAAACGUCAUUGCUAGAAACAAAAGUACAAAUUUAAGGAGAAAAAGAAGAAGAUUAAGGAAAUGGACAUGGUACAAUUUUUGCUUUUGCUAUGCCUCUUAGUGGGGAUAACCUCAACGGUGCAUGGUGAAGACCCUUACUUCUAUUUCACAUGGAAAGUCACAUAUGGCACACUUUCCCCGGCGGGUGUCCCUCAACAGGUUAUUCUUAUCAAUGGUGAAUUUCCUGGACCCAACAUCAACUCGACCAGUAAUAACAACCUUGUUGUAAACGUCUUCAACCAACUUGAUGAGCCUCUCCUUUUCACAUGGUCUAGUACUUUCUCUAUUUUAUUAUGAACAAUUAAGAUUAAGAGUACCAAAACGGAAAAAUAUCACAUAAGCAUAUGAAUAACUUUGCUUUGCAGGGCGGGAGUCCAACAAAGGAAAAACUCAUGGCAAGAUGGGGUACCUGGAACUAACUGUCCCAUUGCUCCAGGAACAAACUGGACCUACAAGUUCCAGGUGAAGGACCAAAUAGGAAGCUACUUCUACUACCCAAGCUUGGGCUUGCAUAGGGCAGCUGGUGGAUUCGGUGGCCUACGCAUAAACAGUAGGUUACUUAUCCCUGUCCCCUAUGCAGAUCCUGAAGACGAUUACACUGUCCUCGUUGGCGACUGGUACACCAAGAGCCACUCUGCUCUCAAGAAAUUACUUGACAGCGGUCGCGCUCUUGGCAGGCCCCAAGCUGUUCUCAUCAACGGCCAAAAUGCCAAAGGAGACGGAACCGACAAGCCACUAUUCACAAUGAAGCCAGGAAAAACCUACAAAUAUAGAAUCUGCAAUGUGGGUCUGAAAAACUCCAUCAACUUCAGGGUCCAGCAACACUCCAUGUUACUCGUUGAAUUGGAAGGUUCCCACACCGUGCAAAACAGUUACGACUCACUUGACGUCCACGUCGGGCAGUGCUUUGGUGUCCUCAUAACUGCUGAUAAGGAACCGAAGGACUACUACAUGGUUGCCUCGACCAGGUUCACGAAAACUGUUUUGACCGGCAAAGGGAUCAUCCGCUAUACCAAUGGAAAGGGACCAGCUUCACCUGAACUCCCUGAGGCCCCUGUGGGCUGGGCCUGGUCUCUGAACCAGUACCGUUCCUUCCGUUGGAACCUCACUGCCAGCGCUGCCAGGCCUAACCCCCAGGGCUCUUACCAUUACGGCCAGAUAAACAUCACCCGCACUGUUAAGCUAAUUAACUCUGUCAGCAGGGACAAUGGGAAGCUCCGUUACGCGCUUAACGGAGUCUCCCACGUUGACCCAGAAACACCCAUCAAGCUCGCUGAGUAUUAUGGGAUUGGUGAGAAAUUUUUCAAGUACGACACCAUUCCAGAUAGCCCGCAAGGCCUUUCAAAUGCUGUCACCUUGCAAACCAAUGUUCUUAACUUCACCCAUCGCACCUUCAUCGAGAUCAUCUUCGAGAACCACGAAAAAAGUGUCCAGUCGUAUAAUUUGGCCGGCUACUCAUUCUUCUAUGUCGCG